rnacentral:lncRNA from 1 species
AUAUCUUUGAAAUUGUCUAUAAAAUUUUAGAAUGGAAAUUGUUCUGCAAUACUAAAUCUUUGUUAUGAUCUUUUAUGAAUCCAAUAUAAAUGUUUUAUUCACGUAUUUGAUUAAGAUUAUCUAUGAAUUAUGCGGAGACCACCUCUUGAGAUUGUAUGGGGGCCCCCUCUCGAGGGCUAAAAUGCCACGAAGUGCCACGUAUAGUGCAAAGCGCCAUGUGUAAUUUGCUACAAAUGAAAAAUGAAUUUAAAUAUUUUGGUUCAUUGUCCAUAGUCAUUCCGAUUCUAAUUCUGAUCGUAUUAUACGAUAUAGAUAUAUUUAUGUUCUAUACCAGUACUGAGUUUCUAUUCGAAGUGUGCACACGAUAUUAUGAUUCUGGCGGGUCACCAGGAUUAUAGGUGACACUAUGUGACAUGAGCUAACUUUUUGUGUCCUGUGAAUGUGUUAUGUGAUUUGCUGUCAAAAGUGACUAUGCUUUUGAAAUUAUGAAUUAUUAUGAAUUUAUGUUAUUUUAUCGUGAUAUGUCAUUUAUGAAAAUUACGAAUUAUGAUAUAUGUUUUAAAUAAAAAAAGAAGGUUUGCAAUAUUUUUUGUAUUGAUAGGCCUAGUGAAUUAGGAAUUGUUUUACUUACCGAGUUGACGACUCACCUCUCAUCAUUACUUUUUACAGAUUAAGUGACUUGUUCAGAAUUGUGGUUAUCUUUGGCACAAGAGAUUUAUUUACUUGCUAAGUUAAAUAAAAGAAGGAUGAAUUUCUUUAGCCUUUAAGUUUGUUGGUCUUGUGAAUUUGUAUUUGGAGAGUUUUGAGCCGUUUGGUACUUUUAUGACUUGGGAGAAAAUGUCAAAUAUCUUAUUUGUGUAAUUGUUAAUUUAUUUAAAAAUUUUUGAGGUAUUUCAGUUCAUGAAUUUGUAUAAAAAAUUUUGAUUUGUUAGUAACCUCUUACUGCCACGUGUUCCGCACAUGAUAAUUUUGGGGUGUUACACAAUGCAUCUAAUCGGGAGGUCUACAAUGACAGGGCUGUGCAAAAUUUCAAGUUUGAUGUGAAAGCAUGGGUUUGUGUUUCUGAUGAUUUUGAUGUUCUUAGCAUUUCGAGGGCUCUUCUCGAGUCAAUCACCUCCAAAACUUGUGAUCUCAAGACGUUGAAUGAGGUGCAGGUUAAAUUGAAAAUUGCUGUGGAUGGAAAAAGGUUCUUGCUUGUAUUGGAUGACGUUUGGAACGAGAACUACAACUUGUGGGAAAUCCUGAAAGCUCCAUUCAUGGCUGGUGCACGAAAUAGCAAAAUAAUUGUCACCACACGCCAUUCAAAUGUUGCAAUGUUGCGUCAACGAUGGGAUCCGUUGAACAUUAUAAUCUUAAGCUUCUGUCAGAUGAAGAUUGCUGGUCUGUUUUUGUGAAGCAUGCGUUUGAGAGGAGAGAUGCCGGUGCUCAUCAAUUUUCAGAAUUAUUUCGUAAGAAAAUUGUUGCAAAGUGCGGAGGCUUACCGCUGGCAGCAAGCACUCUUGGCGGCCUUCUACGCACUAGGCACACAGAAGAUGCGUGGGAGGAUAUAGUGAGCAGCAAAAUGUGGGAUUUGCCUCAACAAACUGACAUUCUCGCCGUGUUAAGGUUGAGUUACCAUUAUCUUCCUUCUCAUUUGAAGAGAUGUUUCACUUAUUGUGCAAUUUUUCCCAAAGAUUAUGAGUUCGAGAAGAAUGAACUUGUUUUUCUGUGGAUGGCUGAGGGUAUGAUUCAACAAUCAAGGACAGAUAAACUAUUGGAAGAUUUGGGCAAUGAGUUUUUUUGUGAUCUAUUGUCUAGGUCGCUUUUCCAACAAUCAAGCAGAGAUGUUCGUAAAUUUGUAAUGCACGAUCUAGUUCAUGAUUUAGCUCAAUUGGUUUCUGGAGAUACAAGUUUCUGGCUGGAAGAGGCAAAUAAGCAGUUAAGAACAUUUGAAAGGAUUCGUCAUUUUUCUUAUCCUUGCGCUUGGUAUGAAGGAAAAAACAAAUUUCACGGUUUGAAUAAAGCUCCAGGUCUGCGGACAUUUUUGCCUCUAAAUGCAAGAGGUCUUUCAACUCGUAAUUAUAUAACCAACAUGGUUCUUCUUGACUUGCUGCCAAAGCUGAAAAAGUUGAGGGUGCUAUCUUUGGAAGGAUACUGCAUUGCUCAUAUACCAAAUUCUAUCAAGGAUUUGAAACUUCUAAGGUACAUCAAUCUUUCUCGUACACCCAUCGAGAGUUUACCUGAGUCAAUAAGUUCACCGUUCAACUUGCAGUUUUGCUGUUAAAAACCUGUCCUUGUCUACAGAAGUUGUCUUCUAACAUGAGAAAUUUAUUAAAUUUGCAUCAUCUUGACAUAGGGGGUAGUUUUAUAACAGAGAUGCCAUCGGGAAUCAAUAGGUUGAAAUUUCUGCAGACGUUGUCUGAUUUUAUUGUGGGCAGGGGUAUCGGAUCUGGUUCGAAGGAUUUGAAGAAUUUAACUUUCCUUUGUGGAAAACUUUGUAUUUCGAGAUUAGAAAAUGCGAAUGAUUCAUGGGAUGCAAGAGAAGCUUCAUUGUGUGAUAAGAAGGGUCUGGAAGAAUUGUCAUUAGGAUGGGGCUCUCCAUUUCACUCAAGAAAUGAGGUAGCAGAAGAAAAGGUACUUGACAUGCUGCAACCACAUACAAACAUAAAGAAGCUUGAAAUCACACGAUAUAGUGGCAGAAAAUUUCCAAUAUGGUUAGGGGACCCAUCAUUCUCUAACAUGGUUGCUUUAAAAUUGAUAGGAUGUGAAAAUUGCACAUCCUUACCUGCGGUGGGGAUGUUGGUUUCCCUGAAAGAGCUUACAAUUCAACGAAUGCUUGUACUCAGAAGUAUAGGGUCUGAAAUUUGUGGAAACGAUUACUCAACGCUUUUUCAAUCCUUAGAGACUCUUUUUUUCAGUGAUUUACCGGAAUGUGAGUUCUGGGAUACCGGCAACCAGACUGGGUAUGUUGAAAUAUUCCCUCGCCUCGUUGAACUGUCCAUUUUUGGAUGCCCCAAACUAUCUGGAAAAUUACCUGACCAUCUUCCUGCAUUAGAGACCCUUGUUGUCAGCAAUUGCGAAGAGUUGGUAGUUUCAUUCUCAAGCUUUCCUUUGCUCUGCAAAUUGGAAAUUUAUAGAUGCAAAGGACUGGUUUGCAGCUCUCCGAUUGACUCUAAGUUGACAAAGUGUAUGGCUAUUUCAAGCUGUUCAUUAGACAUAUACGGAUGCAAGGGGAUGGUAUACAAUAGUCCACUUCACUCUAAAUCACUGUCGACGCCUGUGACUAUUUCAAAUAUUUUAGAGUUUGGAAAAUUGUUAAAAGGAUUUCUGCCAGCAGAGUUUCUGGGGAUUAGCGAUUCUCAAGAUAUUCAGUUAUUGAGGCCGCAGUUUAAGGGUAUGCAAUUUAGGGAGGAGGCAGUACAAGGGCUAUGGAUUAUCGUGCCCCCUGAAGAGGUAUCAACUGAAGAAAAUUGCACGAGUCUGGUUUCAUUUCCAGAAGUAAAAUUUUUCCCGAUCAAUCAGCUUGAUCUUGAAAUUGAAAAUAGUGGAGCUUUAAAAUCCUCACUUGAGGGAAUUAUGUACAACUGUGCACAACUGAAAAGUUUGAACAUUAAAGGUUGUGAUUCUCUAGAAUUCAUUGCAAGAGGCAAGCUGCCUUCGUCUUUAGAAUGGCUUCAAAUACUUGAUUGUAAGAAAUUGCGGUGUUUGAUAGUUGAUGAAGAGGAUGCUUCUGUUGCUUCUACCUCAUUAUCUUCUUUAUCAUUGGCUCUCAAGUGGCUUUAUAUUAGCGGCUGCUCAGAGCUCACCCAUUUACCAUCAAGAACUACACCAUUGCCGAAAGAGCUUGAAUUUCUAAACAUUAGGGAUUGUCCAAAAUUAGAGUCAAUAGCUGAGAGCUUUCAUGGUAACGGACGUCUUAAACGGAUAGUCAUCUCCGAUUGUGGAAAUCUAAAAUCCAUAACGAAGGGCCUACAGAAUCUUAGCUGUCUUGAGUCAGUCAAAAUCGUGAGUUGUCCAAGUCUUGUUUCUUUUCCAGAAGGAGGGCUUCCCAGCACUGUUGCGAUUGUUUUUAUUGACGGUUGUGAAAAGCUUAAAGCCCUACCUGAAGACAUGCACAAGCUCAGCUACUUUCAAAUUUUAAGAAUCAGGGAAUGUCCAAGUAUUGUAUCAUUUCCUGAAGCAGGUUUUCCUACCAACCUAACAUCACUUGUAAUUACUGAUAUCAAAAUGUACAAGGCAAUUAUCCAAUGGGGCUUGCACAGGCUUACAUCUCUUCUACGCCUUUACAUAAAUGAGGGUGAUAAUGCUGAGUCUUUUCCAGAUGAGAGGUUGGGAAUAAUAUUGCCCACCUCUUUAACUGCACUGAGGAUUUCUGGAUUCCCAAAUCUGAAAUGCCUAUCUGCAAUGGGUUUUCAAAGCCUGGCCUCACUCGAAUCUCUGAGUAUAUCAAAUUGCUCGAAGCUCAAAUCCUUUCCUGAGGUGGGCCCGCCAUCCUCCCUUUUGGUACUACAAAUUCAAGAUUGUUCUUUGCUGAAAAAACAUUGCAAAAGGCAAAAAGGAAAAGACUGGUCCAAGAUUGCUCACAUCCCUUGUAUUAUGAUAGAUGGCAAAUUCAUCUUCGAUUAAGAGGAGAAAGAAUGAGCUCUGUUUAAUAUCAGAAGGAAGAAUUCAGGUAUGCCAAGUCCUAUUAUUACGAUUACUAAAAACACGUUGUUAAAUUAUAACACAAAUUUUGAUUUUCAAUUUCAAUAUCAAUCCUCUGCCUUCAACUGCAAAUGGCACUAGAAUAUUUUCAUUUUUACUUUUUCAGAUACUAUGAUGAGGCAGUUUGACUUGAUGAUGCUGUAAGUUUUUUAUGGUAAUGCACAAAUGGUUGGUACUUUUUCUGUUGAUUAUUUACAGUGUAGUUCAGUUGACUUUAGUACUAUGUAUCUGAAAAUUCUCAGUGAUUUAAUACUUUUUUUCAUUUUAACUCAUCAGAUUUAAUGCGGUCCCAACAAGUUACUCACACACCGGUGCUGUGUUAAGGUAAUCAGUACAUUUUCAGUUGCGUUAACUCGAAUAACUUGUAUCUGAAAUAUUGCUGUCGUAAUUUCUUUUCAAUUUAUAGUUUAGAUCAUAGUCUGGCAUGUAGUUUCGAUGGCGAAUUUUUUUUUUGUUUUUUACAUUUUAUUAUUUUUUCAGAGCAACUCAAUUAGACAGUUCCAACCCAGAAAUUUUUUAAUGUAUUUUAGUGCAAUCGUAGUUGUCAAGUGAAAUUUUCAUAUUAUGAUGAUCUCAAUGCUAACUACAUUUCCAACUCUUUUAAGUUUUUUGAACUCUAGCGGGUGAAAGUCAAUGGAAAGAAGUUUCUGAACUUUUCCAAUGAUCAAUGCAAUUUGCUUCUAAGGAUAUAACACGGGUCUUCACUUAUUUCAAGUUGCAGAUAUGAUUCUAUCUUUCUUCUGCUGUAAUUUCAGAGGGCAAGUUUGCUCAUAUUCCUUGAGUUGACGUGGAAGAAAGCAUAAGGAAAGCUCUGAGACAAUCCACAUCAAAAUGUUCACCCACUUUUUCACAGUUUGGAAUCGACUACACUGCCUUCAAAAUGACUUUCAAAUGAAAGGGUAGAAAGUUAAUCAUACAGGGUUCUAAAGUCGGUUAAAAGUUAGUUUUAAAGCUUCUGAUUUUUUCUGAAUAGGCUGACUAGUUAAUAAGCCAAUAAAAUGUGCCAAGAAAUAUCCCUCUGUAGUGGAUCAUCACUUUGCUUGAUUCUUGCUUUGAUUUAGUCUUUGUAAUCUUGUAAUUGCCAUUAUUAAGCUAGUGAAUAUAGAACAAUGGCUGCUUUUGCACCCAUGGAUGUAGGUCAUUUUGACCGAACCAUGUAAAUCUGUGUCUUUGCUCUCUGCGCCUCUCAUUUAAUUUGUGUUUGCUGAGAUUGAUUGCUUUUGUGCAGUUUAAUUCUUGGUAAAAGCUCAGCUUAAUAAUCUCUGUUGAUACGAGAUUCUGGUUCUCCUCGUUCUACGACCAGGGUCUCUGCUCGAUCAACUUCACCACGAACUGGAUCUCUCCUCGUAAAGCUUCUUCUCCAGAGGUUCCUGUGCACAUAGACAGGUCAGAGUACGCCGGUUGUUUUCCCGGUGAAAACCCUCCGACGCUCAAGUCAGAUAUGAAGGUUCGGGGAACGCUUGCCACAAAUCUUAUGGCUGUUAGGUUGUUUUCUCUCUUUUAGAAUCAAAAUUGCUAACCCUUUUACCUUCGUUGGCUACCUUUUUAUAGGCUUCCUCUGAGUCCCGGUCUUUCGCAGUUUACGCCCGUUGUUCUCCCCACGCUCGGAUGUGGAUGUCCCAUUAUCGUCAUGAUGGGCGAAUGGAGAUGGACCUCGUGCCUUGAUUCUCGGAUAGGAAUGCACGUCUCGUCAACUGCCGUUGACCGGGUCUCCUCGCCUCGAACCCUAGCGGGAGUGACCCUAUGCCUCUAGCAAGGGUUCGGCCUCGCGAAUGGCAUAUUCGUGGACGAGCAGAAUAUUCCUGCUCCUGUUCCCUUGCUACCUGGCUCUUACAGGAGACACCUGCUCGCAGAAUUCUGCCACCAAACAUCUGCUCAUCACGUCUGGUCUCACCGAAGUAUUUCCCUCAAACACCGGUCCCCCAGUUUCUGGUGUUGGGUAAUGUAAUGGACCAGCAGUAGAAACUCAGUGGUUCUUGGUCGCGUGGGACUGGAAAAGGCUGCCAAGAGUCGUGUCGCAUUUAAUUGCAGAUGAAGUGAUGUGGCGGGAAUCAGCCCCUCCAUUUGAAUUUCAAAUCUACGGUUGCAAGAUUCUCGGGAUAUGUGUCAUUAAAUGCUGGCAAUCCAAAAGUUUGCUCCUCAGUAAGAAAACCCAAAGUCCUUAGACGCGAACUCGUCAUUCUCUCCCUUCUUGUCUCUCCGGCGAAUGACCCUCGGCAUUGAAGCUUUCAUCCUCGCCUCUCUCUAACCGAGUCCCUGCUUCAGGUAUUUCUUCUAUUUUCUCGGUCUUAGUUAGUUGUAGAUAAUUUCUUUUCUCUCUGCUUUGCUUGAGGUUGUAGUUGGCGGUGGUGUUUUGGUUAGAACUUAGGAUAUAUCGAAGGGUAAGGAGAAAGUCGUUGAGAUUGGUGACGACGAACUAGGUUUCUUGCCUAGUCUGCUCGCUGAUUCUGCUUUUGACCCUGGGGUCCCCUUAGAACCCACUAGGUCUAGUGUCGGGACUAGCGCUAGGAGGAUGUCCCCCCAAACGACCUCCACGAGCGGAAGUAGUGGUGAAGAGGGACCUUCUGGCUCGGAAGACACUUUAAGUGAGGAUCAAAGAGGUGAUUCUGGUGAGGGAUCUUCACCAGGAGCGCCGCGACCAGAGGGGCGUAGUACAGUAGGAGGUAGAGCCUCGUCGCGGGAUUAUGCUAUUGAUUACAUGACCUGCACGACCACAUUCAACGAGCUGGAUGACCUCCGGCUCAGGUAUAGCAUUCCUGGUGAAAUUCCUCUCAAGAUCCCAGGAAAGAAGGAUACACCUAGCCGGCCUCCUAGGGGAUACGUUACCCUGUUUCUGGAAAGCUUUAAGUUUGGGCUAAGGUGUCCCUUGCAGCCUUACUUUGCCCGGAUACUUAACGGGCUAAAUCUGGCUCCUGGUCAGCUGAACCCCAAUGGGUGGAGAGUGCUCUCUGGUCUGUUCAUAUUGUGGGACAGAUGUUGCCAAAGCGAGCCCACGGUUGAUGAGGUCAAGCACCUGUACCAGCUGAAGAGCAGCCCUAAAAAUACCGGCUGGUACUACUUCCAAUCUAGUACCAAGAGCAGGAAACCCAUAACUGAUCUUCCAACUGGUGGUGGUGGGACUUGGAAGAGGAAAUUUUUUUUUGCUGGGGGUCCUUGGGGUCAAGUUGCACAAAUAGACGGGAAGGAUUGUCGCGUCCCACCCCGUUUCACGGUCCCAGGUUGCCUGCUCGCUUUAGAUGUCUUGUAUCCAUAAUUGUUCUUGCUGUGUUGGUUUGUCUCUAACCAAGUGUCUGUUUGUGCUGUAGUUUCUUGGGGUGUUCAUUUCCCGCUCAAACCUGACCAACUCAAAAGGGUCGAGGCCGUAUUGGUUAAUUCCUGCCCGAGUCGAGAGCUGUUAACCACCUACAACCUGCUCGAGUCUCGUUUGGUGCCCCCUGGCCAUAAGAUGGAGGACGCAGUGAUUGGAGCUCUGACCAAGAAACGUUCUCGACCUCCAACAACCAAGCGGGACCAGAACAAAGAUGCUCCUGCAACGAAGCGAAAGAACAUCGUGCAGCAGGUUCCUCCCUUGCAGGCUCUUCCUCCUACUAAAGUCGGUGAGACCAGACGUGAUGAGCAGAUGUUUGGUGGCAGAAUUCUGCGAGCAGGUGUCUCCUGUAAAAGCCAGGUAGCAAGGGAACAGGAGCAGGAAUAUUCUGCUCGUCCACGAAUAUGCCAUUCGCGAGGCCGAACCCUUGCUAGAGGCAUAGGGUCACUCCCGCUAGGGUUCGAGGCGAGGAGACCCGGUCAAUGGCAGUUGGCGAGACGUGCCUUUCUAUCCGAGAAUCAAGGCACGAGGUCCAUCUCCAUUCGCCCAUCAUGACGAUAAUGGGACAUCCAUAUCCGAGCGUGGGGAGAACAACGGGCGUAAACUGCAGAAGACCGGGACUCAGAGGAAGCCUAUAAAAAGGUAGCCAACGAAAGUAAAAGGGUUAGCAAUUUUGAUUCUAAAAGAGAGAAAACAACCUAACAGCCAUAAGAUUUGUGGCAAGCGUUCCCCGAACCUUCAUAUCUGACUUGAGCAUCGGAGGGUUUUCGCCAGGAAAACAACCGGCGUACUCUGACCUGUCUGUGUGCGCAGGAACCUCUGGAGAAGAAGCUUUACGAGGAGAGAUCCAGUUCGUGGUGAAGUUAAUCGAGCAGAGACCCUGGUCGUAGAACGAGGAGAACCAGAAUCUCGCAUCAACAUUUUGGCGCCAUCUGUGGGGAGCUGAGCAAAAAGCUUCUGUUGAUAGCAAAAAGAGGAGUGAAGCAAGUGAAAAGCAAUGGAGACAGGAGGAAGUAGUGCACAAGGGGGUGAUUUGAGGCUUAACGAUUCCGUGACGCUGAGAGAGAUAGCCAGUGAAGCACGGGAAAAAGCCAUGUUCGACCGGAUGGAACGGAUGGAAAAGCAGAUGGAGACCCUGACAACCAUCCUGCAUGAGCUGCGGAGUGAACGCAGGGUAACCCAGGAGGAAAGGGUGAGAGGUGGUGGAGUGGCACCAGGUCCUGAUAGUGCGAGGAGAAGUCAAACCACCGGGAGAUUUGGUGGUGAGAGAGAUAACAUACCUCUGCGGGGAGAACUUCAUAGAGAGGAAGAGCAGUCCCUAGCAAGACAGAUUUUUGACGAGGACGACGGGGUGGCGAAUGCAGAGGAAACGGAGUUGAGGCAACACUUGCAUGAUGUAGAGCAAGAGCGGGAUCAAGUUGCUGCACGUGACCCUGGUCGUGCAGUGCAGCUGAAGGAGGAAGUGCGCAGACUAGCGCAGAUAAUUGACGACAUGCAAGGAAGGAACAGAGCUCCUAGUUGGAAGAUAAUGCUGAACGGAGAAUCACCGCUCGCAGCAGAGAUCAUGAGGGCAAUUAUUCCAAGGGAUUUCCGCCUCCCAGACCUUAGAUACGCGGGAAGAACUGACCCGCUGGUGCACAUAGAGCGCUUCAACGACAUAACUGAGGUACAAGGAUUAUCUCAAUCCCAAAGGUGCAGGGUGUUCCCACUAUCCCUUGAGGGACGUGCACGAGAGUGGUACAGAAAACUUCCUCGGGGCAGCAUUAAAACCUUCGAUCAGAUGUGCCAGGAAUUCGCAGAGCAGUUUAGUGGGGCGAUGGCACCAGAAGAUGACAUGAUGGAGCUGAAAAGCAUGAAACAGGGGGAGCAAGAAACCCUUCGGGAAUUCAUCAAGAGGUUUCAUCGUGCUGUCCUCGAUUUGGGAGCCUUCAACCAUCCUCAGGCAUUAAGGGGAUUGAAAGAGGGAGUGAAGAUAGGAAGGUUGUGGUACAACUUGAGAAGCCCAGCUAUUCACUCAUAUGCGGCCGCAUACGAGCAAGCUAAAAGAGACAUAGAGAUCAAGGAAGAAAAGGCGGCUCAGAUUAAGACUGACCAGCUAGAGGGGUUGGAAAAGAAAGAGAAGAGGGCACCACCAGGGAAUGGGCCGAUCAGGAGGAGGGACCACCAGGCCUCAGGUAGUGGAGCAGGAGGUCGGGUAACAGCUUACCAGCCACAUCAGAGGCCACCACAAUAUCAGCGCAGCAGGGCGCAGCCUCUUCGUUCCCCAGCUAGGGAGCCUUGGAGAAGGCAUGAUUCGACAUAUGGUGGUCUUCAUCAACACUCCCACGCCAGUAGAGGGAGCAGACCAGAAGUGCUGCCACUACCCCCAACUCAAAACGAAGCAAAUAGAGAAAUGGCAGUACACCUGAUCGACCAGAACCAGGACUACGGGCAGUAUACUUCAUUGAAGAUGUCCCUGGAUGAGGUGUACGAGGCCAUAAAGGAGCGAGGAUUGCUGUACCUCCCUGCCCAAUAACAAAGCUACCCGGCAGGAGAGAUAGGGAACGCUAUUGUAAGUUCCAUGGCACUCAUGGCCAUACCACAGCAGACUGUAGAGAUCUCAAGACCCAGGUAGAAGAUUUGGUGAGAAAUCGGUAUCUGGACGAGUUUAUAGAUGGGACAUUCCCAAUGGUAGCAUCAACAAAUGAAGGGGAGCAGAGUGACAGGAAUUUGAGGCGCGAGCAGCCUACAGUAAGGAUGAUAGCUGAGGGCCCGACAUUGGCUGGAGAUUCCAACAGGUCGAGGAAGAAUUAUGCUAGAUACGCCAUGACCAGCAAAAGGGUAUUCUUCAACACCCCAGCAGCCAAACGUGCAAGAGUUAGGCAAGUGCCAAUCAUGUGGACAGAUGAGGAUGAGGAAGGCAUUUUAUACCCUCACGAGGAUGCUUUGGUCAUCGAGGCCACUGUUGCUAGCAAGAAGUUUGACAGGAUACUGGUUGACACAGGGAGCUCAGUUGACGUAUUGUUUAAGUCAACCCUGGAGGAGAUGGGAAUAGCAAACCGGAAGCUGGAAUAUACCAACACCUCCUUGAAAGGGUUUGGAGGAGGAAAGCUGGUCCCUCUGGGCGUGGUCGAGCUGCCUAUCACGAUUGGGAGCUCCCCGACGGAAAGGACAAUGAUACUGGACUUUGUGGUCGUGGAUGAAGAAGGUCCUUACCAGAUGAUCUUAGGUCGGCCGUUUCUAAGGAUGAGCAAAGCGGUAUUAUCCAUCCAUUAUCUGGCUCUCAAGUACCGGGUGAACGGGGUAGUUGGAGUGGUACGAGGAGACCAGAGGAUCGCAAGAAGCUGCUACUCCUCGGCAGCAAGGGAAGCAAUGCAGAUAACAUCCCUCGAUACCCGAGUAGAAAACAAGAAGGGCCACAUAGAGUCAAGCAGAUGGUGGGACCCGGGGAUUACAAGCUGGUUCGCACGGACGACCACGAGGUGAAAUGCCCAUGGAACGCAGCACACCUCCGAAAAUACUUCCAGUAAGACUUGUUCACAUUUUAAAGCAAUUUCUGCUCGUGCUCUUUAUCUUUUAUUUUUAUGUUUUACGUCAAAGCAAGUUCAUGUAAAAUCAAAACCUGCAAUUAAUGGAACGUCGAGGAAUGUCAUUCACUUGAAACUGUGAUAAAUUUUCUAAGGCAUGCCAAGGCUCACCAAGUCUCAAAGCCUGUUUUAUGGCGAGACAGAAGCCAAGCAAGCCAGGAUCUGCUCGGCCACGAGAAGGCUAGCAGAAUCCCAAGCUUUGAAGAAAUCAUCUAAAGCAUGCAAAGGCUCACCAAGUCUCCAAGCCUGUUUUAUGGCGAGACAGAAGCCAAGCAUGCCAGGAUCUGCUAGGCCACGAGAAGGCUAGCAGAAUCCCAAGCUUUGAAGAAAUAAUCAAAGGCAUGCAAAGGCUCGACAAGUCUCAAAGCCUGUUUAUGGCGAAACAGAAGCCAAGCAUGCCAGGAUCUGCUCGGCCACGAGAAGGCUAGCAGAAUCCCAAGCUUUGAAGAAAUCAUCUAAGGCAUGCAAAGGCUCGACAAGUCUCAAAGCCUGUUUUAUGGCGAGACAGAAGCCAAGCAUGCCAGGAUCUGCUAGGCCACGAGAAGGCUAGCAGAAUCCCAAGCUUUGAAGAAAUCAUCUAAGGCAUGCAAAGGCUCGACAAGUCUCAAAGCCUGUUUAUGGCGAGACAGAAGCCAAGCAUGCAAGGAUCUGCUCGGCCACGAGAAGGCUAGCAGAAUCCCAAGCUUUGAAAAAAUCAUCUAAGGCAUGCAAAGGCUCGACAAGUCUCAAAGCCUGUUUAUGGCGAGACAGAAGCCAAGCAUGCCAGGAUCUGCUCGGCCACGAGAAGGCAAGCAGAAUCCCAAGCUUUGAAGAAAUCAUCUAAGGCAUGCAAAGGCUCGACAAGUCUCAAAGCCUGUUUUAUGGCGAGACAGAAGCCAAGCAUGCAAGGAUCUGCUCGGCCACGAGAAGGCUAGCAGAAUCCCAAGCUUUGAAGAAAUCAUCUAAGGCAUGCAAAGGCUCGACAAGUCUCAAAGCCUGUUUAUGGCGAGACAGAAGCCAAGCAUGCCAGGAUCUGCUCGGCAACGAGAACGCUAGCAGAAUCCCAAGCUUUGAAGAAAUCAUCUAAGGCAUGCAAAGGCUCGACAAGUCUCAAAGCCUGUUUAUGGCGAGACAGAAGCAAAGCAUGCCAGGAUCUGCUCGGCCACGUGAAGGUGAGCAGAAUCCCCAAGCAUCGAAGAAGUCACUAAGGCAUGCAAAGGCUCGCCAAGUCUCAAAGCCUGUUUAUGGCGAGACAGAAGCCAAGCAUGCCAGGAUCUGCUCGGCCACGAGAAGGCUAGCAGAAUCCCCAGCUGUGAAGAAAUUACCUAAGGCAUGCAAAGGCUCGCCAAGUCUCAAAGCCUGUUUUAUGGCGAGACAGAAGCCAAGCAUGCCAGGAUCUGCUCGGCCACGAGAAGGCUAGCAGAAUCCCAAGCUUUGAAGAAAUCAUCUAGGGCAUGCAAAGGCUCACCAAGUCUCAAAGCCUGUUUUAUGGCGAGACAGAAGCCAAGCAUGCCAGGAUCUGCUCGGCCACGAGAAGGCUAGCAGAAUCCCAAGCUUUGAAGAAAUCAUCUAGGGCAUGCAAAGGCUCACCAAGUCUCAAAGCCUGUUUUAUGGCGAGACAGAAGCCAAGCAUGCCAGGAUCUGCUCGGCCACGAGAAGGCUAGCAGAAUCCCAAGCUUUGAAGAAAUCAUCAAAGGCAUGCAAAGGCUCGACAAGUCUUAAAGCCUGUUUAUGGCGAAACAGAAGCCAAGCAUGCCAGGAUCUGCUCGGCCACGAGAAGGCUAGCAGAAUCCCAAGCUUUGAAGAAAUCAUCUAAGGCAUGCAAAGGCUCGACAAGUCUCAAAGCCUGUUUUAUGGCGAGACAGAAGCCAAGCAUGCCAGGAUCUGCUCGGCCACGAGAAGCCUAGCAGAAUCCCAAGCUUUGAAGAAAUCAUCUAAGGCAUGCAAAGGCUCGACAAGUUUCAAAGCCUGUUUAUGGCGAGACAGAAGCCAAGCAUGCCAGGAUCUGCUAGGCCACGAGAAGGCUAGCAGAAUCCCAAGCUUUGAAGAAAUCAUCUAAGGCAUGCAAAGGCUCGACAAGUCUCAAAGCCUGUUUUAUGGCGAGACAGAAGCCAAGCAUGCCAGGAUCUGCUCGGCCACGAGAAGGCUAGCAAAAUCCCAAGCUUUGAAGAAAUCAUCUAAGGCAUGCAAAGGCUCGACAAGUCUCAAAGCCUGUUUAUGGCGAGACAGAAGCCAAGCAUGCCAGGAUCUACUCGGCCACGAGAAGGCUAGCAGAAUCCCAAGCUUUGAAGAAAUCAUCUAAGGCAUGCAAAGGCUCGACAAGUCUCAAAGUCUGUUUAUGGCGAGACAGAAGCCAAGCAUGGUAGGAUCUGCUUGGCCACGUGAAGGCGAGCAGAAUCCCCAAGCAUCGAAGAAGUCACUAAGGCAUGCAAAGGCUCGCCAAGUCUCAAAGCCUGUUUAUGGCGAGACAGAAGCCAAGCAUGCCAGGAUCUGCUCGGCCACGAGAAGGCUAGCAGAAUCCCCAACUGUGACGAAAUUACCUAAGGCAUGCAAAGGCUCGCCAAGUCUCAAAGCCUGUUUAUGGCGAGACAGAAGCCAAGCAUGCCAGGAUCUGCUCGGCCACGAGAAGGCUAGCAGAAUCCCAAGCUUUGAAGAAAUCAUCUAAGGCAUGCAAAGGCUCACCAAGUCUCAAAGCCUGUUUUAUGGCGAGAUAGAAGCCAAGCAUGCCAGGAUCUGCUCGGCCACGAGAAGGCAAGCAGAAUCCCAAGCUUUGAAGAAAUCAUCUAAGGCAUGCAAAGGCUCACCAAGUCUCAAAGCCUGUUUUAUGGCGAGAUAGAAGCCAAGCAUGCCAGGAUCUGCUCGGCCACGAGAAGGCAAGAAGAAUCCCAAGCUUUGAAGAAAUUACCUAAGGCAUGGACAGGCUCACCAAGUCUCAAAGCCUGUGUUAUGGCGAGACAGAAGCCAAGCGUGCCAGGAUCUGCUCGACCACGCGAAGGCGAGCAGACUCCAAAGCAUUCGAAAAAAUUUCUAAGGCGUGCAAUGGCUCGUCAAGUCUCAAAGCCUGUUUUAUGGCGAGACAGAAGCCAAACAUGGCAGGAUCUGCUCGACCGCGCGGAGGCGAGCAGAAUCCCAAACAUCGGAAAGUUUUCCAAGGCAGGUGGCAAAACCAUAUGCCAAGCCCGAUCCUGCUCGACCAGACAAAGACGAGGAGAUUCUCAAACGGAAAAAUAAUUCAUGAUUACAACUCAAGCAAGUAAUCAAAAGCAGUUUUUCAUUAAUCUGUUAAUAACCAACAAAGUAGUUCAUUACAACGCGAGAAAAAUGUUCAAGAAGAUGGCGGAUCAGUAAGCCGAGCAGCAUUGGUUGGCUGAACCUCCUCAGGUGCGGGGGGGGUAUCACCAGUUACGUCCGGGGGGGUGCUCGCCUCGGCAACGACAGCAGGGGUGCUCACCUCGCCAACGUCAGCAAGGACUGAACGAGGAGGAGAACUUUCCUCCUCAAUCACGAUCGGUUCUAUCCCUUCGGCAUCUUCCUUGGCCGCUUCCUCGUCCAUAUGUUGAGCAACACCAGCUGCAAGAUCAUCCAUCUUCAGAUCAGGAUGCUGCUUCCCGAGGACGGCCAUAAUGCAAUGAUAGGAAUGCCGAAGUCCCUGGUCGUAUUGGUUGUCGGCCUCCCUCUCCAAGGUCUCGACCUGAGCUCGGUGGGAAUCGCGGAGAGAUUCGAGCUGAGCCUCAUACAUAGCCCUCUGCCUUUGCAGAUCCUCCUUGACCUUGGUCAGCUCCUCCUCGAGGGUAAUGGCUUUUGCUUGAGCAAGAGAUUCUUGCUCUAUCAGCUUGAGGUUCUCAACGUUUAGCUCCCCCGCUUUCUUUUCGGCAACGUCAGCUCUGGUCGUCGCCGAUUGAAUGUCCUCCUCCAUCUUCCUGUCGUAAUGGCCAACCUUGGCCUUAUAGUAGGUGGUCAUGCAGCUGAGAUGGAAAGCGCUAUACUACAUGGCUCCCACCAGCUUGCCCAGGGUACAACCGUCAAAGUCCUCCAGGUCCUUCUUGCUCACGAGUUUAGACAACUCAUUGAGAUAGGGGACCAAGUGUUCUGCUCGGCUGUCAGGUAAGCGAGACUGAGGUGCGACAGGUGGAGAAGAGGAAGCAGGAUCAGUGGCUGCUCCACUAGAUUCCCCGACUUUAGCAGGAGCAGGAGGAAGAGCCUGCAAGGGAGGAACCUGCUGCACGAUGUUCUUUCGCUUCGUUGCAGGAGCAUCUUUGUUCUGGUCCCGCUUGGUUGUUGGAGGCCGAGAACGUUUCCUGGUCAGAGCUCCAAUCACUACGUCCUCCAUCUUAUGGCCAGGGGGCACCAAACGAGACUCGAGCAGGUUGUAGGUGGUUAACAGCUCUCGACUCGGGCAGGAAUUAACCAAUACGGCCUCGACCCUUUUGAGUUGGUCAGGUUUGAGCGGGAAAUGAACACCCCAAGAAACUACAGCACAAACAGACACUUGGUUAGAGACAAACCAACACAGCAAGAACAAUUAUGGAUACAAGACAUCUAAAGCGAGCAGGCAACCUGGGACCGUGAAACGGGGUGGGACGCGACAAUCCUUCCCGUCUAUUUGUGCAACUUGACCCCAAGGACCCCCAGCAAAAAAGGAUUUCCUCUUCCAAGUCCCACCACCACCAGUUGGAAGAUUAGUUAUGGGUUUCCUGCUCUUGGUACUAGAUUGGAAGUAAUACCAGCCGGCAUCUUUAGGGCUGCUCUUCAGCUGGUACAGGUGCUUGACCUCAUCAACCGUGGGCUCGCUUUGGCAACAUUUGUCCCACAAUAUAAACAGACCAGAGAGCACUCUCCACCCAUUGGGGUUCAGCUGACCAGGAGCCAGAUUUAGGCCGUUAAGUAUCCGGGCAAAGUAAGGCUGCAAGGGACACCUUAGCCCAAACUUAAAGCUUUCCAGAAACAGGAUAACGUAUCCCCUAGGAGGCCGGCUAGGUGUAUCCUUCUUUCCUGGGAUCUUGAGAGGAAUUUCACCAGGAAUGCUAUACCUGAGCCGGAGGUCAUCCAGCUCGUUGAAUGUGGUCGUGCAGGUCAUGUAAUCAAUAGCAUAAUCCCGCGACGAGGCUCUACCUCCUACUGUACUACGCCCCUCUGGUCGCGGCGCUCCUGGUGAAGAUCCCUCACCAGAAUCACCUCCUUGAUCCUCACUUAAGGUGUCUUCCGAGCCAGAAGGUCCCUCUUCACCACUACUUCCGCUCGUGGAGGUCGUUUGGGGGGACAUCCUCCUAGUGCUAGUCCCGACACUAGACCUAGUGGGUUCUAAGGGGACCCCGGGGUCAAAAGCAGAAUCAGCGAGCAGACUAGGCAAGAAACCUAGUUCGUCGUCACCAAUCUCAAUGACUUUCUCCUUACCCUUCGACAUAUCCUAAGUUCUAACCAAAACACCACUGCCAACUACAACCUCAAGCAAAGCAAAGAGAAAAGAAAUUAUCUACAACUAACUAAGACCGAGAAAAUAGAAGAAAUACCUGAAGCAGGGACUCGGUUAGAGAGAGGCGAGGAUGAAAGCUUCAAUGCCGAGGGUCAUUCGCCGGAGAGACAAGAAGGGAGAGAAUGACGAGUUCGCGUCUAAGGACUUUGGGUUUUCUUACUGAGGAGCAAACUUUUGGAUUGCCAGCAUUUAAUGACACAUAUCCCGAGAAUCUUGCAACCGUAGAUUUGAAAUUCAAAUGGAGGGGCUGAUUCCCGCCACAUCACUUCAUCCGUAAUUAAAUGCGACACGACUCUUGGCAACCUUUUCCAGUCCCACGCGACCAAGAACCACUGAGUUUCUACUGCUGGUCCAUUACAUUACCCAACACCAGAAACUGGGGGACCGGUGUUUGAGGGAAAUACUUCGGUGAGACCAGACGUGAUGAGCAGAUGUUUGGUGACAGAAUUCUGCGAGCAGGUGUCUCCUGUAAGAGCCAGGUAGCAAGGGAACAGGAGCAGGAAUAUUCUGCUCGUCCACGAAUAUGCCAUUCGCGAGGCCGAACCCUUGCUAGAGGCAUAGGGUCACUCCCGCUAGGAUUCGAGGCGAGGAGACCCAGUCAACGGCAGUUGGCGAGACGUGCCUUCCUAUCCGAGAAUCAAGGCACGAGGUCCAUCUCCAUUCGCCCAUCAUGACGAUAAUGGGACAUCCACAUCCGAGCGUGGGGAGAACAACGAGCGUAAACUGCGGAAGACCGGGACUCAGAGGAAGCCUAUAAAAAGGUAGCCAACGAAGGUAAAAGGGUUAGCAAUUUUGAUUCUAAAAGAGAGAAAACAACCUAACAGCCAUAAGAUUUGUGGCAAGCAUUCCCCGAACCUUCAUAUCUGACUUGAGCGUCGGAGGGUUUUCGCCGGGAAAACAACCGGCGUACUCUGACCUGUCUGUGUGCGCAGGAACCUCUGGAGAAGAAGUUUUACGAGGAGAGAUCCAGUUCGUGGUGAAGUUGAUCGAGCAGAGACCCUGGUCGUAGAACGAGGAGAACCAGAAUCUCGCAUCAACAAUCUCUAUAGAUUGGAUCGAUCUCAAUUCAUUGGGAUUGAGUUUUAGUCAUUUCUAGGGCGAGAGAAAUUGACUUGCACAUGUAUCAUGGCAACGUUUGUUUUAUUUGGAUAUUAUUUGUUUUUAUACAGGCUUUUAGUUUAUUUCAGGUUGUCUGAGCAAAAUUUUAUCACACAUGCGAUUACUUGGAAAAUUCUAACGCCAGUGUAUGUUAAAAAUGAAAUUGGGUCAUGUAGGUACCCUCUGUCAAGAUCAAGUGCUAGCUGGACAACCACUUUGAAAACUAGUCUCCUUUUCCUGCUGUAAGUUUCAUUUCCUUUUAGAUUUUACCGCAUGAGUUUAGCUUAAUUUCUUCAAAUUACUCCGAUUUAAGACCAAAUAGACUCUGGAAUAAGGGCUUAAGUAAUUUAUAAUAGAGAUGAUUAGGGGAUGGGCAAGGAUACUUGGUAAUAUGAAGGGACAAUUUGGAUGUGUUUGCAAAAAUGAAAACACAGUAUCCCCUGUAAUAUUGGACGGGAUUGAUGACUGAAUGGUCAAUCAAACGUUUUUUUCCAUAACUUUUGAAAGCACCAACUACUUUCAGAUCCAUCUGCCAUCUAUAUUGAGUAUAUUCUAAUUAUAAAUCUAUCGUUGUUUGUCCUUAGAAAGCAAAAUACAUACAAAACUGUAUUUAAUACUCUUUUUUAAACCAACCACCCAAUAAAUAAAUAAAUAAAUAAAAUUAAAAUGUAUUUAUUAAAUUAAAUAAUUUGCAAAAACUACGAAUCUCAAUAGUCUGUCUACUUAUAGACCAAAGUUAUUUAUUAAUCAUGGUUAAUGCAACAUGUGUGUAACACAAAACAACAAAUAACUGGCUUUGCUUUGCUCCAGAAAAUUGGUCGAAAUUUUGGUCAGGCAAACCAAGCAGUCCAAUUUUGGUACAAUAUUUUGUCUAACAAUUUUUAGCUUUACCGUUAAGCCAUAAUAUCGUUUUCUUAUAAGCAUUAAUCUAAUUUCUCCUUAACUAAUUAUUGUAUUAUGCGUAUGGUGUUACCCUCAUCAUCGUUUGACUUUUCAACCAAGUAGUUGUGGGUGGAGAUCAAUUAAUGCUUCAACAUAUUACAGUUCAGAGAGAAUGACAAUUCCAUCCCUCUUUAUUUUUAUUUUUAUUUUUUGGGGCAUCACUUAGGUUUCUUGUAGACUUUUAGUACCUCAUUUUAUCAUUGACUAAAAAAUGUUAAGUAAAAAAUUACGCGGUUGGAGGUAAAAUACAGUUGGUGUAUUGAAAUACAAACUAAUAUUACAUAAAAUCUGACAUAAAAACAUAUUAAAAUUGGACCAGUUAAUGAGGUCAUUUUACGCCGACGCAAUCGUGACGCAAUCGUGCAAAUACCAAAAAACGUACUGAAUAUUGAUGAGCCAUGGUCCAAAACAAUAACUGGACCAGUUGAUGAGGCCGGCUUAGUAUCUACAAACAAGGUAGUCAAUCUAGGCUUCAGCAGUUAGUAUCCCAAUCCCAAUCCCAAUCAAGUGCGCAGCCCUAAAACAAAGAGUGGACUUUUCUAACACCCCGUGAAAAUUCUUAUGAAACCCACUUUUUUUAAUUAUUAUUUUGAGUGCGACUAUUUUCACCCCUUUAAAUAUCUCUUAAUAUCCUUUUUUUUUUAAUUAACUCCAUUAAACUAUUUUAAAAAAUUAUAAAAUUCUUUUAACACCUCCAUCAAUAACAAAAAUACCCUUAAUUAAAACUUAUUAGUAUAAACUUUAUUCUCUAAUUUUUACUUGUUUUUAUUAUUAAACCUCAUUUCAAUAAUAAGAUUUCUUCCACUCAAAAGAAAAAAAAAAUAACCGAUUUUCUUCUCUCCAUUGCAAUCGUCAGUGGUGAAUUUUUCACCCAAAAAUUAGAGGAAAAUUAAUUGUUUUUAAUUUCUAUAAUGUUAAAUUUUUUUAAGAAAAAAAAAAUUAUUUGAAUUUGGAGUAGGGUUUUAAGAAUUGCCCUAUCAUGUAAUUUUAAUCAAAGUUAAAAUUAUAAAAUAAUUAAAGGGGUUUUAAGAGGUAUUUGGAAGGGUGUCAAUAGUCCCACUCAUUAUUUUUUCCGACAUAUUAAAUCAUUUGAUAUAUGAAUUUCACAUUGGGCCUCGACUAAUUCAGAUUCGAGCCGGAUAUAACCAUUAGGACGACAAAACUCUCCCAAAAAAUAUUUAACGCAGCUGCAUUCGCAAGUCUCGAACCGAGAACCUUGAUUAAAUUAGAAUAAUUUAUUUACAGCUAAUCUACGCGUUUGUUGAUUUUUUUCAAUUAUUAUUAUUCUUAUUUUAAUACCAAAAAUACCCUUUUCCUGCUAAAUUCCUAUUACAUUUUUUUAGUUUAUUCCAAUUUAACUAUCUUUAAUCAGAUCGAGACGAUGAGUUUGCAAAACUAUGUAAAGUUAGGUGGAGCUGCUUGAUGGUUCCUCCAAUCACGAUCAAGAUGUUAAAUGUUGACCUUGGAAAAACAUAAGCCGCUAAACUCAAUAAGUAUAUGCAAAAGAUAGUACAUCAGGUAGUAUUAAAGAAUUGUUUUUUUUUUCCUACAGUUUUCUCACCCGUAAAACAAAUCAAUGUCUUAUUUUUGGUCUUUUGGAUAGAUGAGUCACAAACAAAAACAAAAAGGAAAAGAAAAAAAAAAGGACUUGUUGAUUUUUCAGAUUUUGGGGAGAGAAAGAGAAGCGGUCGAAGAGUUCGCAGAGAAAAUAAAAAUAUCCUGGGUGUGUUUGACGAGAGAGAAACAGGUAGACGAGUUUGUCCUCCCAUGUAAUUACAUCAGAAAAGGUGUUAUAAGUAAAAAUAGCGGGGUGUUAAUAGCUGUACUGGAAGGCAAAUAUAUUGUCGCUCAAGUCCAUUCAAAUUCGGCCUAUAUCUAAAGAAUGAGAGAAGACUUUACUUCUCAAGCUGACUGGGGGGUACCGGGCCAGGCUGGUUUCGUUUUGCUUUUUGUUUUCCCUCACUAAUACAAUUUACUAAUUCAAAAUUAUGGUAGUUGAUUUACUUCUACUUCUAAAUAUGUAACGCACUACGAGCAUAAACUAUCUAAAUCGUACCAUUAUUAUAAAUCUAAUCCAUGAGGCUUUUAAUUGAAAAUAUAAUAGAUUAUAUUGUAAUUCAAAAUAUAAAUGUAUAAAUGUCAAAUAAUAAGUUAACAUACGAGUAGGGAUGGCAAUGGGCACCGCCCGCAGCGGGUUUGCCAUUACCAAACCCAAACCCGCACAAAAUUUAAAUUACCAAACCCACCCGCAACCCGCAGCGGGUUUUAAUUUUUUUACAAAAACCCACCCGCAGCGGGUUUUAACAAUUACCAAACCCGCAAUGGUAUCCGGCGGAUUUUUUGCGGGUUUUCGUAUUUAAAAUCACAAAUGUUUAAUAUAUAAAUUUAUAAUAAUAACCUCAAAUUCCAUAUAACAUACUCAAUUUUAUAUUUAAAUAAUGUAAAUGAAAAAUUAAAAUUUCCACAUCAAUUCAACACAAAUUCUCAAAUUUAAGUAUAAAUUACACAAAUCCAUUUAAAAAACACAAACUAGUAUCUAAAAAUAAUAAUUACAUUUCAUAUUAUCAUUUAAAACAAGCUCCAAGAGAAGAUAUUCAUUUCAUUCACCACCAUAAGCACCCAUCCAACACAAUGCCUAUAAUAAUAAUUAAGAUUAAUAUUUUCAAAUACUAAUUCGAAGGAAAAUGCCUUUAGUUUUCUUUAGAUUAUGACUUUAGAAUAGGAUAUAGGCCACAUACACAACUUUGAGCCUUUGGCUAUUUGGUAAUUUAAUUAAUGACAUUAUUUUCUUUAUACAUUUUUAGAUUAAAAUUAAACUAAAAAUAUUUUUAAAAAAUAUUGCGGGUUUGGUGGAUAUCCAUGCGGGUAUCCACCGGAUAUAAGGUUAAUACCAAACCCACCCGCAUCCAUGUGCGGGUUUUAAUUUAUAAUACUAAACCCGCCCGCAACGGGUAAAAUUACCCGCAACGGGCGGGUUUUGGCGGGUGGGUUUGGGCGGGUUUGCGGGUUUACGGGUACAAUUGCCAUCCAUACAUACGAGUGCAGUCUCACACAAAUUUUUCUUGGUGCACGCAUUGCCAACUUGGAAAAUCUACUCAACUAAUACUUCCUUCUCUUUACUGUUGCAUUGACUUUAGAAAGUUAAUUUUAGGGGUCUUGUUACAAUGCACCAGCUGCACCAUCUAACAAGUUUUACAUUGUCCUUAACCAAUUAUUCAUUCAUAAUCGUUGAUUCACUAUAUUAUUUUUAUACAUAACAUGUUUUUGUAAUACAUAUAGGGCUUGUUUGGUUGUUGUAUUAAAGCCCCUCAUUGUAUUAAUUUUACACAAAUUCAUGUUUGGCAAAUAAAAAGUUACAGGACCACCACAUUAAAAGCCCAAACUAAUGCGGCAGUUGCCGCAUUAAGGUAAACCCGACUGUGAGUCGGGUUUAACUUAAUGCGGCAACUGCUGUUUUUUUUGUUUUUUUUUUUUUUCUCUCUCUCCCUUUUUGCUUUUGCAACUGUCUGUGGAGCCUUGCUUUUUGACUUUUGUUUUUUGACUUUUGCUUUAUAAUAACAAUAAUAAUAAUAAUAAUAAUAAUUAUUAUUAUUAUUAUUAUUAUUAAAUAUAACUUUUAAUUUAAUAUUAUUUUUAUAUUAUAAUUAUUAAUAUAGAUUAAUAAACAUGUAAUUUAUUAUUCAAUAUUAUUAUGUUAUAUUAUUUUUUACAUUAUAAUUUAUUAAUAAAUUUAUAAUUUAUUAUAACUUAUAAUAAAUAGUUAAAUAUGAAUAAAUUUGAAUAAUAUUAAUUUAAAAUUAAUAAUAAUAUAAAAUAUUAAUACAAUUUAAGUAUAUUAAUAUAAUAUAAUAUAGUAUAAUAUUUAAUUUAAAUUAAUCAAAAAAUUUAUUACAGUACAGUGUAGUACCAAACAUUAUACAAUAUUAUUAUAAUACAGUGCUAAUGCAAUACAGCAUAAUACAAUACACCAGCAUUAAAAUAAUGCAAUACAACAUAAUACAAUACAUGUACCAAACGCACCCAUAGUAAAUUAUGUAUACAACGAAAAAGUUAUUAUCAAUAAAAAAAAAAAAAAAAAUGUGGAUCUACGGCGCAACAUGCUGCACCAUAAUCACACCCUAAAUUAUUAAAAUAAUAAAUUAAUUAAAAGAUAAAUAAAACGUACAUUUUAAAUAAAAUAUUUUAUUUUUUAAUAUAUUAAAAUAUGUAUUUUAUAUACCUUUUAACUUAUUUCUUAUUUUAAUAAUUUAAAGAAUCUUUCAUUCAAAAUUUAUUCUAUACAUAUAUAUUAAGUUGGCCCCUUUUGAUAACAUAAUAUUUACAUGCAUGAACUUGAUCACUAACACAUAUAUUACAUGAGUCGCACCUGACGAAAAUUCCAUACGAUAUAUAUUCAAGUGAUCCAGAUCGAUAGACAAAUUAAUUGUACCAUGUUACAGUUAAAAUUGGAAAAUAAUAUAUAGUACAUAUUCCUUUUAUGUGGCAAAAUAAUGUAUACAUUACAUUUUCCCUUUUACGUGGCCCUCAUGACGUCGAUUUAUAAAUCAUCAUGUGACAGUGAUUUAAUGUGGACAUCCAAUGGACCACCAAAUUUCUAAUGAACAGAGAAAUUUGUCGACAAGCUUAUCCCAACUCCUUGAUUGCUAGUUUAAGUGUCUAUUCACAUCAAUGAGCCAAGUUGAUUCAUCUCACUACCGGUAUUUAAGGUCAAUUUUUUUAACUUAAAUCUAAUAUGUUAUUAUACAACUUAAACGAUAAAUCCCAAGUUUUUAAAACUUUUUACUUUGGUAUGAUCAAAUAAAAAUCAGUUAGGUUGCAGUAGCCAACACAAGAUAACUAAAAACAGAACAAAUUCCAUGAAAAGUUCACUAAAAAGUCUUUAAAAAUAAUUGCUUUGUACUAUGAAAAUUAAAAAAAAAAAAAAAAAGUGUUCCCGCAUACUUUGAUGUGCUUAAUUUUUUUGUCUCAACCUCUCAAUGGUAGUCAAAAAGUUUUCAAACAACCAACUUUGAUCUCGUAAAUUUAGAUUUAGAUAAACAUAUGCAAAUCUACAACAUAUCUUAUUCUAACUAUUAAAAGUAAUGCUUUCCAUGAUUUUCCUAAGUAAUAAGAAAUUGGUAGUGUUUUGAUUGCCUCAAAAAAUCCCAACUAAUCAAACACUGCCCAAGAUCUUUGUCAAGAUAAAUUCAAGUUGCAUAUGAAUCAAAUGACCAACCUUUAUGACUCAAUGAUUAACAAGAACCUAAUAAACGAAUUUUAGAGACCAGAAACACAAGUAUCAAGCUAAAUUACCAACCAAAGCACAUAGAAAAGAAGACUGAUUCUACAUGGUUCAAUUGUGCAAAGAAGCACAAUCUACCAGAAUGAGUUUUUACUGAUGAUUCGAGUUGAAUUUAUAAAGCUUUUACAGAAUAGAUGACAAGGAACGGGAUGUCUCUCUCUCUCUUUCUCGUAUAUCUCUCUAGAACGCUCUUAAUUCCUCACUGAAACUGCCUCAACAAUCAGCUUUGUAUAACAGUCGAUAACAAACCCGGAUUCCAACAGUUUCUGCCACGUGGUUAACGGCCUGCAUCAAACUUGCUUCCCCUUCAUUUCAUAUGCUUCAUCACCUGCAUGACUUGAGUCUUAGCCAAAACGUCUUCAUGUCUUGCCGUUUUGAUGUUAUUAAGUGAGUCACACGUCCAUCACAUGACAGGUUGAAACAAACUAAUACGCAAAACGAUGCCGUUUAACAUGUCCAAGUUUUAAAUUCAGCAAAUUAGUCCACAAAAUUAAAGUUAUUUUUCUUUUCUUUUCUUUUUUUUCCAACUCUUUGUUCAAACCAAAAAAAUCUUGAUCUCGAACAUCUUUAUAAUCACAACACAAUUACCUACAUACAAUGCCAUAUCGUAACGUACAAAGAGGAAGACACAUCAGAAACUCAAAUAGUAACAAUAAAAACAUCCUUCAUAAGUCAAUCAAUAUUACUUAUAUAUAUAUUCCUUUCGAAUUGAAGAGAGCCACCUGAAGCUUGGCUGCUCAUCAGCCUUGCUUGGAUUCAACCACUUAAGAGGACACCAACAACAGUUUUUGCUCGCCUAAUCAUAAUUCUUUUUUAUGUUGUAUGAAAAUAAAAAAUAAUUGAAUAUUAGUUAGAGAUAUAUAUUAAAUAAUUUAUUAAAAAAAGUUUACAAUCUAUAUACAAAUUAUGAUCUAUAAUUCAAUGAGAUUCUGUAUAAAUGCACUUUAAAUUUAUAGUACAAUCCAGAAAUUUUUCGAGUAUUAACUUAAAAGUCUACUCUCAUAAAUAUACAAAAAGAUAUUUACAGUAUUUUAAAUUAAUAAUAUAAUAUUAUAAUUUAUUAUUAAUUUUGUUUGUAUUAAUGGGAAUCUUCCUUGCAUUCCUCUUUUAGUUGCGCCAAGGAUAUCUUUGAAAAGGAAAUGCUUCCUCAUGUUGCUAUGACUGAAUUCUCUAGAACUAAGAAAGCUUAUUAUUUUGGGUAACUAUAAUUCUUCUAUAUAUUAUCAUUGUCAUUACUUUAGAGUAGUUACAGAUCUUAUUUAUCUUUAAUUUCUUCAGCUGUUUUAUAAAUCGGCUUCUUCUUUGUGCACUUGGCCGGUGGGUUAAAGAUGUUAGAUAUCAUUAUGGCAACAAGAGACAGGACCUUUCUGGUUCAUUACUUGAAGGCUUGUUUAGGAUGGUUUGUUUCAUUUUUGUGUCGAGGUAGUUGACUUUACUUGUGAUCAUAUGAAUGGAGAUGUAUCUCUUUUCUUUUAACAUCCCACUUUUAUAACUAAAAUAAGAUGAUUUAUUUCAAAAUAUUUAAAAUCUCAAUAUUUUUUUAAUAUAAAUAUGGAUAAUUAAAAUUUUUACAUGACAAGCACAAACUUCAUUACAAAAUAUAUGAGACACAUAGAGAUUCCUUAGUAUAUAUUUCAAAACAUGGUUAUUAUGCAAGAGAACUUAAGAUAUUUAUUUUUUAUAGCAACAUAGCUAAGCCCAUCAGAGUCCAACGGUUUGACAUGCCCAUAUGCAUUUCAUCUUGGUUGGGACUUGGCGCCAACUUGAUCUACUCAUCAUUACCUACAAUCUAAGGAUUGCAUGAGCUAAUGCCUAGUAAGAUAACACCUUGAUGCAAGUAUAAAUUGUUAAGCACAUGGAUGAGCUUAUAAACAUUAAAUCUUUAAAAGAAACAUAGAAAUAUAAAACAACUUUGUUAGGGCCCUAUGUACAUUGCACGACAAGGUUGGCACUUUUCAUUCUUUAAAACAACAUCCCCUUGGGCCUAAAUUAAUAGUUGAUCUUUGGGCAUUGCGUAACUCUGUCCCCAAAAGAUUACUCUUUACUUAGCUUUGAGGUCUUGCCCUCCUUGAAAACUUUAUCACCCUAGUAGUACAACAACCCAUUGUUCAAGACUCAUUUUUAAAAUCUUUUCUUUGUAAAGUAAUCUUAACAUAUUAACAUGAAUGCAUGUGUUCAAUGCAACCUAUAUCAUAACAUGUAAAGUUCCUAGAUAUAUAACAAAGCCAACCAUACAAAGUUUUUUAAAGACAACAAUCUUUAGUAUAGACGGCAGUGCUGUUUAUAUAAAAAAUAAAUAAAAAACAUGAUUAUAAUAAUAAUAUAGGUGACAAAGCGAACCAUAUCAUAAUUAAAUAAGAAUAUCACAAUAUAGGCAGCAUAACCAACUGUAUAAAGAUUAAAUGAGAAAAUAUCACAAUAUAGGCGGCAUAGCCGACCAUAUAAGGAUUAAAUAAGAAAAUAUCAAUUAUCAGCGACAGAGCCGACCAUAUAAAGGUUAAACAAUAAAUAAUCACAUCACAGUAGUCAUCAUAAGAUAAAGAAAUAAUUAAAGAUGAAUUUAAGUAUGAAAAGAACUUUGUCCGCAAAUUGCAGUUAAAGUAUUACUCAUAUCUUAAUCUUGACCCUCCUAACUUUAGGAUUUCUCUAUUCUUUGAUGUUAUUACUUAGAAUAGAAGAGGAUAGAAUUCCAAAGGAGAUAUGGAAAAUGAAAGAGCUAGGAGUACUUAUAGGAUUUCCUAAAGCUAAUGGAUGAUUAGGAUUUUGUCACCAUACCUUUUGAUUAAUAGUUGAGAUUUAUCCUUCCAUAAAUAUCUUUGUAAAUUCCAGAAUUUAUAAAUAUUCUACAGACAUUUUGUUGCAUCAAUACUUAUGUCAUCGCUUGUGUCAUCAUUACUCUAGAAUUUACUUUCAUAAAUAUUUUCUAUUUUUAUUAUUUUAAUAGUUAAGGGGAUUUGUAGCUUAAAAAUUAAUUUUAUAAUCUUAAAAUGAGAAGUUUAUACCUCAUAGUUUCCUCCCCCUUAAGAAAAUUUUAUGCUCAAAAUUUCCUAUUGAAUAGCUCAAGAUACUUGUUCUUCAUAUUUUCUUCACAUUCCCAUGUUGCCUCCUCCUUGAGCUAUUUCGUCAUAGUAUUUUAACUAGAAAAAUCUUCUUGGUUUUUAUCUCCUUUAUCUUUCUAUCAAGUACUUGGAUUGGAUGUUCUCCAUAGGUUAAGACUUCUCUUAGUUGAAGAGCCCUAUAAUUUAGCACAUAAGAGGGGGUCUGCAACAUAUUUCUUUAACAUGAAGAUAUGAAAAGACAUUAUGUAUCCUUGACGAUGGUGGAACAACAAGUCAGUACGAAACAUUCUUGACAUAUUUCAAGUAUUUCAAAUGGUCCAAUAAACCUCGGAAUUAAAUUUCCUUUUACAAAUACUUUAUUACCAACUUGAAAUUCAAAAGGCCUUCAACUUUUAUCUACAUGACUUUUUUGUUGACUUUGAGCUGUUUACAUUCUUUAAUGUAUUUUCUCGAUCGCCUUAGAUGAGACAACAAUCAAGUCGGGCCCAAACUACUUUUGCUUGCCCAUUUGAUCCCAAUGAAUAGGUGACCUACAUUUUCUACCAUAUAGAACUUCGUAGGGUGUCAUGCCGAUUUUUGCUUGAUAGCUAUUAUUGUAGGCAAAUGCAGCCAAAGGUAGAUAUUUGCUCUAUGAUCUUUAAAAGUCGAUAGCGCAUCCCCGCAACAUAUCUUCUAGUGUCUAGAUCAUUCUUUCUGACAAACCAUUUUUUUAAGGGUGAAAUGUUGUACUAAAUUUUAAUUUUGUUCCCAUAGUUCUAUGUAACUUUUUCCAAAAUGUUGAGGUGAACAUUGUCUCUCGAACAAAGAUAAUAAAAAUAGGUACACCAUAUAGUCUCUAAAUUUUAAUUUUGCUCCCAUAGUUCUAUGUAGCUUUUUCCAAAAUGUUGAGGUGAACAUUGUCUCUCGAUCAAAGAUAAUAAAAAUAGGUACACCAUAUAGUCAUACUAUCUCCUUUAUCUAUAUUUAAGCAAAUUGGUUCAUGGUGUGCAUCAUUCAAAUAGGCAAGAAGUGGGUGGACUUUAUAAGCCAAUCGACGAUCACCCAAAUGGCAUCAUGCAUUUCUUUUUCAAUUUUUUAUUACUAUUGGUAUUUAUGCAAUUUUUUAGAAAGUUAAACUGGAAUGUGAGAGCUUAUGUGAAGAAGGUUCUAAGUUUUUGUUGCUUUCUUUCUUUUUUUCUUUUUGUUUGAUUUUGAAUUAUUCCUUUUUUUUUUCAUUUGUUCUGGUUUACACUCAUAUAGUUCAUCCAUUUUGUAAAGGUUGGAUAAGGAUCUAUAUGUUAAUUUGCAAUAUGCUAUUUUAGCUAAAACAAUUACCCAUGGUAUAAAGUGUUCUUUGGCUACUGGUAAUUAGGGUCAGUUAGAUGCGUUUAUUACAAGAACAGAAGUGUCACAGGUUUUUUAUUUUUGAUCUAUUUGAAUACAUGAUAGUUGUUUUUGCUCACUCAAUUUCUACUUUGUAGUAUUCCUUAUAGUAUACCUUUUGAUUACAUUGAUCUUGUGGUCUUUCACAGAUGUUGAAUUACGUGACAUGCGCAUCUACCUUGUCACAUUUGCGAACACUAUGUUCGCCCAUAAGACAAAAGGUAAACUACUUAUUAUUGUGUAUAAUUUUGUUUUAUUGAGGGUUCAUUCAUGCUUAGUUUUGUUUUUUCACUUAUGCAUUACCAUAUUGUUAUUUUGUUAAUUUGUUGCAUAUAAUUAAUUGUUUUCACUUUAUUUUUCUAAAGAAGUUUUCAUUUACUAGGUACACAAGUAAAACCUAGGGUGGCACAUAAUACACAAUGAGGCAAGAUUUGUUCCUUUGCAACACCUUUGGGAUAAGUAAGUAAAAUUGCGCUUAUAAGAUAUAUCUAUAAUCUCUGUUUCUUAUUGUAGCUUACAAGAGUUUGUUUUGGUUAAUCUAGGCCUGUGGACUAGUGAAGAAUCUUGCUUUGAUAGUCAAUAAAACCCUUGGUUCAUUAGUAUUUCCCAUCAAUGAGUUAUUAGAAUAUGAGCCAAUAGUAGAAGCCAAGGUGCAUUUUGUAAUUUAUGGCAUUUAGACGUUAAUAAUACAUAUUUCAUUCAAAUUAUUUCAAUUUUCUCCUGAUUGCAAAAUGCUACUGCAGACUUUAUUCUAUAAGCUACAAAAAGUUUUGUUAAUGGUUACUGGGUGUCAUGCAUGAUGUUGGUUCAUUGGUCCAAGCUUUGAGACGCUUUAAAAGAAAUGUCAUUAUACUUGUAUUUCAUCUAUUCAUAAGGAAACCUCUGUAUUAAAAGUUGGCAAAUCGAUUGGUGUACUCUUAUGCCAUUUAUGAACUAUUUUGUUUCUCUACCCAUGUGCAGGACUUUAUAAAUACUGCAAUUGGGGUUUCUAGGGAUAUCCGUUCAAAAGAAUUGCGUAUAUACACUGAUUUUGGUCGUUGUUUUCGUCCAUUGCUUAUUGUCCAGAAUUAAAGACUUCUUAAAAAGAAGAAAGAUAUUGACGCCCUCUAUGACAAGGUUAGCCAAACAGUUUCUCGCUCUUUUAUUAAUGAUUUGUCUUUUCUGUAGUUACAUGACUUUUAUCUUGUUAAUCUUCCACAAAUCUUCCGAAGAUGGUUGUUGGUGUGACCUUUCUAAAAAAUGGGUUUAUAGAAUAUAUUGAUCCACAAGAAGAAGAAACCAUAAUGAUUUGCAUGACAAUCAAUGUGAAUAAAAUGGUAUUGGUUGGUCGAAAACCCAUUAUCGUGAGACGUAAUUUUUAACUUGCUAAAAAUUUGAUUAACACAAAUUUGCUUCAAGAAGUUGUAAAUGCGAGGCUUCAUCCAAACAAGGCUACUUCUAAUGCUUACAUGCAUUAUAAGAUUCAUUCAUCCUUGAUAUUGGGAGCUUUUGCUUCAAUUAUACCAUUUCCCAACGAUAAUCAGGUGCGUCGUGCUUUUGACAUUUCUCUGGUAAAAUAUGUUUAUAUAUUAAUUCAAUCCUCAAACUUUCUUUAGUAUUAUUUAUGCCAUUUAUGAGCUUUUGCUUUUAGUCCCCCAUGUAAUGUGUUUCAAGCUGCAAUGAGCAAGCAAACAAUUGGAAUCUAUGCUACAAACUACCAAUGACAUAAAGUACUGUAUUUGGUUUCAAUUUUUUUGUGAUUAGAAGUUCAUUUUCAGCAAGUCAUAGAUAAUGAUAUUAUUUUUCCUUUAUAUGAUUUAAGAUGCUUUAGCCUAUGUUCUCUACUACCCUCAGAAACUACUACUUGCUCGGAAAGAUGUAAAACUCCUUCAAUUUAACCAACUUCCUACUAGUGUGGUGAGUAUAUAAUUUAAUGUUGCUUUAUUGUUGCUCCUUAUGAUCAAAGUUUUCUCAUAAUCUUUUUGUCUUUGUUAUUUGGCAUUAGAAUGUAAUUGUCACUAUUGCCUGUUACAGUGGCUAUCAUCAAGGAAGUUCUGUUGUUAUGAACCAAUUAUCUAUAGAUUGAGGAUUAUUUUGAUUCCAUACAUUUAGGUAAGUUGUUGUUGAGACAUUGUGUAUCUUAAUUAACACGACUCAAAAGUAUUGAUUACUCCCAAGUAUAAGAGUGUCUAAUUAUAAUAUAAUCUAGUGAGUUGGGGUCGAUCCACAAGGAAUCUAUAAAUCUAGUAGUCAAUUAUUAAAAAAAAAUAACUGCAGAAAAAAGAAAUUAAUAGAGAUCAAUCUAGAAAAAAUGUUGUGGUUACGGAAUUCACUGUCGAUUUUCAAAUUAUGGUCGUAAUACUCUCUCAUAUUUAUAUUUUGCAUUUCUUUAGCCAGUUAAUUGUUAUGCCAUUUAAUUCUUAAUUGACCAUUUGUAUGGAUAAAUAUGAGAUCAAGUACCUAAUGUGCCACAGCUAUAUUGGAGUAUCGACAUUAUGUCAAAAAAUCCAUACCAAUCUAAGCAGAUCUAGAUCUAUAAAUUAGCAUGAUAUAAAAGUAAUUAGUAAAGAAAAAAUACAAAUUAUUAACAUUUAACAAUUAAAAUAAAUUUAAAACUCACUUGAGAGAGUAAUUAAUUCCCUAAUUUGAAUCCUUGAGCUUUAUCUUUCACCACAACUUAUAAAAAUUUAGUCACUCAUAUUUAAAAGGAAAACACUCAUUUUAUUUAAACUUUGUGAACUACAAUACAAGAAAAUUGAAAAGUAAAGGAAAUGAAAGAGAUUUUUGUCCUUAAAUUCACUCUAUAUUCACACCAAAAUACUCAUCCCUAAAAUCCACCACAAAUUCUCUCUCAUUUUCUUCUUUCUCCAAAAAUCUAGAACACCCUCAUUUAGAAGAGCUCUUACCUUUUUAUAGGCAAAAUUUAGUGAUCAAGUGUGGGUGUUUACAUAAUAUUUUUGUGAGAUUACAAUCACCACCAUUUAGAUGAGAUUUAGUAGUAUAAUCUAAGGGUCUAAAAUUUGCAAUCAUUAUGGAUCGUUAGAUUUAACAUAAUUGUUUUUAGUAGAUUUUGAGUGUGUGAAUAAAAACAAAACCUAGUUAAAAAAAAUGAAUUUAUUUUUAUUGGGAUGUAAAGUACCUUGCUUAGUCAGAAUGUGCGUGUUAUUUCGGUCUUUCUAGGGAAGAAGGAAGGGUGAGAGGGUGGCAGAAACGGUGAGAGGUUCGAAUCUAGACUCACAAAGCUCACCUUAGACCUGCAAAACAAUGAAGAAAAGGUUAGAGGUGCAGGCGAGAUGGAUGGCGACCACACUCUAACUCUCAAGUCGGAGUUAGGUUACCUCAGGUUCGAGAACUUGCAAACUCUCAAUAAUAGUGGCUAGAGAUUGAAGAAAAUCUCAGCCUUGGUGGUAUGUGUGUGUAUUGGUUGUGUAUCAUAAAAAUAAAACCUGAGCAUUUUAUAAAGAGUACUCCGGCUACCAUGCGACAUGAUGUUACUUUUUUUAUGUUCCUUAUUGUCGUGGCAAAAAUAUUUUUGUCCUUCAUACAUGAGACAAUUUGGGUACUUUAGAAUGAGCAUGAAAAAUAAGUUUGAGGUGCAUACACGUGUUGGGCGUAGAUGGGUGGUCCCUCGUACCUCUACUGAGGCUGUUCGGAACUUGCAGGCAUGGCAGGUGAGGACAGGUGGUCCUAACUGUCUUGGUAACUACUUUUUUGUCUUAUUUGUAGGAGUAACAAGUCGUUGUUUCUUCUUUUCCAACACAAUAUUCCUUUAUUGAUUUCCUAUUUUUUGCCAGAAAAUCAACCAAUCAUUUUGGGAUAAUGCCUCCUUUUAUCACCUGUUACUUUUUUGAAUAUUUUUCUAACAUUCCUACGCUUGCAUGGCAUACCCCAGGUACUCUUUCGAAUAAAUAGGGUAUUCGACAUAAGCCAGGAUAUUUUUUAUGACUUUUCUUUCGUUAUAAGUCUUUGUAUCGACACAUGACGCUUUAUUGUUAAGUCUUCCACUUCUUUCCCAAGUAAUAAUCAAUGUCUAUGAUUGAAGUCAAAGGUGGAUCCUCCUUUUGCUAAUUUGUCAAGGCAGUUGAGCUAAUUUGUUAAAAUAAUUGAUCUACCAAAUUUGGUGUGCAAAAUCAAGCACAACAUGGUGUACGUGAGCUUAGACACGCGGCAUGAUCUCAAUCGUUUAGCAAUAAUGCCAGAUCAAAUGGCUACAAAAUAUCCAACAACUUCUGAGCUUAUGGGAUCCAAAUGUCACGUCCAUUUUUUUUUUAUCCAAGCAUCGUGAUUUUAGGGAAUUACCUACGAAACACAAAAAAAAAAAUUGUAGUUAAAAAUAAAUAAAAAUUAAUCAUUUGUAAAAUAGUUUAGGGAUUUAUUAAUGUAAUAAAUUUUUUAGUGUUAUCAACACUGCAAAUUGAAAAUGAUAACUAAAAUUUUAUUAAAUGUACACUUUCUAAUAUUAAUAAUUAAAUAUCUGCUUUAUUCAGUUUGUUUUAUUUUCUUUGAGAUAUACUUUAUUAAAUUUCUCCUAUUUGACAAUGAUGAGGAGAAAGGGAUGAGCACUAUUAGAGAACAACAAUUUGGGCAUCUGGCUCCAUCGAAUAUUAGGGUGAAUACUAAAAUCAAGACACUGCUAGUUGUUGUUUGGAUGAAAUAUUGUUUGAAUAUAUCUAAUACUAUGAGCUAAAUUCAGGAUGCUGGUGGAGUGUUGGUUAUUGUUUGCUUGAAAUAUUGGAUGUAGAUAGGAAUUUUGUUUUGCAGGACGUACAACAUGGUAAUUAUGAUAAAUUGGAUGCUGAUGGUCUUGUGCCUCCUGGUGGUAUAUAUUUAAAGUUCAUUUCUAUUUCGUCUUGCUCUUUCUUAAAGAAACUCAUUCUUUUCUUAAAUUGACUUGCUAUUUUUUUCUUAGGGAACAAGAGUUUCUGAAGGAGAUGUGAUCAUUGGGGAGACUGCUCCUAUUACUCUGGAUCAACAGACAUCGAGCUACACCAGACGUGACCUUAGAACAAGCUUACCUUCUGGUGAAACAGGGAAGCAGAUCGAGUAAUAUUUAUGUAGUAGAUCGAGUAAUAUUUAUGUUCCAAUUUUACUUGCAUCUUUACAUGUUAUUUACUUCAUUUUUAUAAAUUUAACUAUGUAGUUUCAUAAAAGUUACAUUCAUAACUGAAGGUGUUCUAAACUUUAUAGGUUUUGCUAACGAAUGCUGAUAAGGAGUUCAGGUCUGUGAAAGUUAUGGUCAGAACUAUCUGGAUAUCCUAUAUUAGAGAUAAGUUUAGCAGUCUGCAUGCUUGGAAGGGAACAAUUAGGAUGACAUACAACCAGGAAGACAUGCCAUGGAUAGUGGAAGGCAUCACCCCUGAUAUAAUUAUAAAUCUGAUAGAGCAGCGUAACGAAAGCAGAAUUGAUUGGAUAGAAAACACUAGAUAUCGUUCUGGUACUAGCCCAAGCCAACGCGAUUAGACUACACUCUAAUCGAAGCAUGAUUAGAUUUCAUUCUAACCUAAAUGACUCAAUGAGAUUUUUAAUUACGCGUAAAGCUAGAUUAGAUGACGCUUUAAUCCAAACGACUUUAUAAGAGAGAUUUUGAUAGAUAAUUCUAGAGGGAAUUAUAAAAGAGGGAAACUUAUUAAAUAAUUGAAUCUGAAAUUAUGAAAAUAAUUACAAGACCUCUCUAUUUAUAAUAGAGGAAACCCACUUCCCUAAGUUAACUUAAAAAGGGAAACUAAAUCACAAUUAUAAUGAAAAUAAAUCACUAAGCUAACUUAAAAAUGGGAAACUAAAUCACAAUUAUAAUCGAACUAAAAGACUAAGAUACAUAUCAUAAUUAACUCAAACUAAAAUAGAAAAUCCUAAAACCAUAAAUAAUCCUAAAACCAUAAAUAUUCUAGAAUCCUAAAUUACCUAAAAUAAUGUCCUACAUCAUUCUCCCCCUCUUAAAAGAAACUCGUCCUCAAGUUUGAAUAUAAUCUAAAGGAUGAAACUUGUAGUGUAGGAGCAAAUCAUCUUAUAAUUCGAACUUAUUGUCCUUCUCAUCAAUCUUUUUUGAAAACUUUGAAGAAUCCAUAUUUCAUCAAUUUCCUUUGCUUGUACAUUUUUCGAGGUGAUCAAGACUUCAAAAAACGAACAACAAUCAAAUAACUUUUGCCCUUCCCCAAUUCUCGCUCAAUGCUCUCUCCAAUAAAUUUCACCUUUUCAAUCAAAUCUUCAAUCUUACUGUUAGACUCGCUACUUAAAUCAAGGUGAGGUUGUUCUUCUUCUUUAAAAAAUUUAGAUAGGUCAAAUAUUUCGUCAUCUUCAACACUUGUCUUCUUUUUCAGGGAAACAUCAUGCGCAUUCUCAGAAAACUUGUCAAAUUGAAACUUUAAAUCAAUAAUAAAUUGUACAUUUUCCUGCAGUAUCUAACGCGAGUCUUCUUCCUCAACGAUAGGAGAACUCAUUGGUGCAUCUCUCAGCACUUUCAUAGAGACAUGUCAUUCCUUGAUUAAAUCUUGAACUUCGUUAAGUUUCUUAAUCACAUCAUCAAAGUUUCUUUGUCGUUGGGACUCAAUUUGAUUCAAUUUGCUUGGCUAAAUAAAUUGCUUGCUGUAUAUUGUAGACAGUGUAUGUAGGCAUCCUUUCUUGAACAUGUAAAUCAAGCACUUUCACAAAUCGUGUAGUUGUAUUCUCCUCAAGUUCAUAAUAAUAUUUGCAUCUAUAAACUUUUUCAAACUCAAAAGCAUAAGCAGAAAUGGAUCUCGUACCUUGCUGUACCAAACAAUAAUCAAGAGGGACAAACUCAUAUCACAAAAUACGCUUCAUACGGUUCCAUGAUCGAACUUUGCAUUUGCCUUGGUCAAGUCGAGAAGUUUGCAACUCAUGCCACCACUCUUAAACACUUAAGGUUAAUCUACUAGCCGCAAACGAUACUUGCUCUUCUUUAGGAGUGCGCCAAAAUAGAAACCAGUGCUCAACCUUGUCCAACCAAUCAAGAAAUUGGUUUGGACGAGUGUAUGCAAAUAAUAUCGACACAUGAUAAAUAGGCAUGCAAGGAUAGUGGUUUACCAUUUAAGUUUCCACACAAUGGCAAAACUAUAAAUAAAGAAAAUAUUAUUCAAAAUUUAUAAAUAAGCAAAAUAUGGGUUACCAGCGACGAUGACUGGAAAAUAGGUCAAAGAUUGAUGGAUCUGGAGGAUUUGAUGGUGAGGAACACGAUAGUGGCUGGUGAUUGGCCGGAUUCGUAGCGUGUUGGCUAGAAAACCUACUUGAAAUGGCGGUUGUGGUGCUUGGAUUGUGAAGGAGCUUACGACGAUUGCUUAGACUCAAUGGCAGUUAGGACUUGACGAGCAGCCAGAGUGGAGUUUGAUGAUAGGUGUGAUCGACAGUGAGGAGGUGAAAUCGACGGUGGCGCAUGUGUGGAGAACGCGCGGGUGGGUGUUACGUGUGGUGGCUAUGAGCGACGAUUCAGGGUUGAAGCUGGUCGACUUUUGGUCAACGGUGGCCAGCGAGUUUGGUGGUGGAGGUGGCUGGCUGAUCAGCGGUGGUGGGUGGCGGCUGUGGAAGUAGAUGUGGCGACUAGGGUUUUCAAAAUUUUUUUUUUUUGGAUUUUUGGAUUUUUUUUUGCUUUUUUUUAAUAACCAAUGAUGGAUUUGGUAGGGGAUGGAUAUGGGUAGCCAAGAAAGCUGUGCAACUGGCAUAGAACCGCUCUGAUACCAAUUGAUGGAGCAGCGGAACGGAAGUGGAAUUGAUUGGAUAGAAAACACUAGAUAUCGUUCUAGUACUGGACCAAAUCAACGCGAUGGUUGAAGAUAAAAUCCAUUCCUGUGCUCGGGGUAUGUCGGACACCCUCACAAGACAACCUUUUCAAGGACAGUCUCAUGGCGGUGGCUAUCGAUUUGGAGAAAUGGAAUGAGAUUGUACGAGCUCAUGGUGCAAUUUGCGUUCUCAAGGAGAGAUUAUUUGUGCAAAGUGAUCCAUACCGAGUCCAUGGCCAUUGUUUGUUCAUUGCCAUUUCUGUAUAGCGUGUUAACAAAACUACAAAAAUUCAUUUCAGUAUCAGGAAACACUGUUUCCGAAACAGCAUUAGCUUCUGUUUUUCAAUGGGUUAUAAAAAAGUGUGACUUGGCUCAGUGGGAGAUAAAUCGUGAUAAAAUUAUGCGGUGUUCUUUGGGCCAGAGGUUUCAGCUGUGAUGCAAGAGAUUCUAAACUCUAAUUUGUUGUUGUCUGACUUCUUUUGCUCAUGGAUUUAGAUAAAACUUCUGUGCUAAGUCUUGUUCAAAGUGUAUAUAUAGAACUGAACUUGAUUCUGACUGAUUCCAUUGUUAAAAUGCAUGAGUUGUGUGGCAACCGGCUACUCUCCACUGAUGCUUUGCUGUCAUUGUACUUGUGCGUCAAAGAAGGCUUUCUUAAUAUUGUUGAGGAAAUUGUUGUCAAGCGAGGCUAAUCUGUUCACAUCUGGAAAAUAUUAUUUCAUGGUGUAUAUUUGUUAAAGUUAUUUAUUUUCUUUAUCUCUUAUAAUGGAGUAGAUUUGAUGUUGAGAAGAAAAAUAUUAGUGUUUAAUUGUGUGUUGAGUGAGUGGUUUAAAUGAGUAUUAAGAGUAAUUAAAAAUUAUAGAGUAAUGUUAAAUUGUUCAUAAAAUUAGUUUAACAAAAGACUUCUUAAUUUUUUAAUAAAAUGCAGUCUUAAAAAGUGUAUUUUAUCAAUAAUGUUGACAUUCUUGCAUUUGAGUCUUAAUUUUAUAUGUUAGUUGUUCAUUAGAUGAUAUAUUUUAUAGUUUACAAAGUUAUUAUUUUAUUAUUCAAUAAAUAAAUGACGCAUCAAUUAGGACUAAAUUGAAACGUAAAUGUUGAAUAUUACGUUUUGUUAAUGUUAAUGUUUAAUGGUCAGGUUAUAUAGAUAAAAUUUGUGUAUUUAUUUUUUAUUUAUUUUAAAAAAUUCAUUUUUUCAUGAACAAAGAAGUUAGUAAACUGAAAUUGCUUCUAUUGAACUGUGGAGUGCGGGUGCGCAUUUGCCGUAUCUAUGAUUUUUCAAAAUCUUUUAGUUUAAAAAAAAAACCUCAUACUUGAUGGGUAAUCAAGUAGAAAAAAUUAAUAAAAAAGUAAGUAGGCAUUUUAAGUGUAAUUUCAUUGAAAAUAAUAGAUAAAAUAUAUAAUUAAAUAUUUUAUUGAUAAUGAGACAAAAGUUAUUUCAUGUGAUUUUAAGAAAGAAAGCGUAAUGGACACAUGUCUAAUGUACAAAGAGUACAUGAACUGACAAAUGAGACUGUGAGAUUGUGGCUGGACAAUCUCCGGGACUUGGCUCAUGAUGCUGAGGGCAUACUGCACUAGUUCGACACUGAAGCUUUGGGGCACAAGCGAAUAGCAGAUCAAGCCAGCAGCUGUAAAUUAAAGAACCUAGUCCCUUCUUAUUUCUAACAUUUCGGUGGUUCCAACGGUUGGAAUUAUAUGCUCUUUAAAAUAUAUUAAUUUAUUUAUUUUUUUAUUAAUAAAAUAUUUGAGACAUUUUUAAUUGCAUAAAUAUUUUGAAUAAAGGUUCAUUUAAUCAUCUUAUAUGUAUUUAUAUGAUCAUCAUAUGGAUUCACAGAAAAUAUAAAUACAAGUUAUCUUAUGAUUAAAUAAAUUAAGUUCGCAGUUGAUAAAUAGAGUUGGACGCUCUAUUUAUGUUUAAACUGUAAUAAAUUCAUUGAAUGAUUUGUCUUAAUCAUGUAUGAAUUUAUUGAUGUAGUAUGACUACAUUGAACAUGAUCAUAUAUGAGAUUUAAUUAACUUUGUAAUAACUGUCAGACUUAUUAAAUCUCAUAGGCAUUAAUUUUACUGAAAUCUUAAUCUUGAGUUAGUUAUGAUUUCAUGAUUGUAAUUAUUAUUCUAUUUGAGUUACCAAUGGGCACGACACAUACUUAUAGUCAAGAUUACCCGGUAUUUUGGUAGGAGCAAUUAUAAGUAUUGGAGUUAUAGAUUAACAAUAUACAAUUUGUACAAUACAUCUCUUGAUGGGUUUUCAGCACUUGAUCAUAGAAUUCUCUGGUUAGAGUGUGUCAAUAUAUUUAGUAUAUUGAAAAUUAUCAUUAGAGAAAACCAGUAAGUAUCAAGAAAUAAGAUGUAAUUAAAUUGAUAGGAAAUUUGAGAUAUCGAUUUAAUUAACGAUGUGGUACAAAGAAUUAUGCAGUAAAGAAAUCAAUGUGGUAUGAGUCGAAUUAUUAUUCGAGUAUACUAUCCUAAAUAGCAUACAAUUAUGAAUGUCAAUUUCAAUCUUUUAGUGGAGUAGAUUUGGAAUUAAAUAAUUGAGCUAGUUUAAUUACAUACCUAAUUAUUGUAGCCACUAUUGUAUGUACCCAUAUGAUCCCCGCGUUAGCUCAUUUAAUUAACUGCGCCAUUACUGGAUUAAUAAGAAAGAUAACUAGUUAUUUUGGUUAAACGCCUAAAUAUAUUAUUUAGUGGGAGGCUUCAUAUAUAAUAUGCUUGUGUCUAAGGGGCCUUAUAUUAUUUUAUAAGGUGGGCCCCUAUGACAAGAAGAAGUAACGUUAUUUUUUGUUUUAUUAUUUUUUAAUUUAAAUCAAAUUUGAUUUAAUAGAAUUAAAAAAUAUAAAAAUAUGAAGUCCAGGGUUUCCACUAGAUAGAAAUAUAAAGGACUUAUUUUCUCUUAAAAGAAAAGAGAUGUCAUAUUAUACAGAUCAUAGAAAAAUAUUUUUUCUCUCUAAUUUUGAGAGAAAAAUUUUCUCCUACUAAUUGCUUUUAGUGGUAAUAAAGGCGCUCACACGUCAAGAGUAGAUCAAACGUGAGUCAUAACCUAAAAGAUUAUUGGUGAUAGAUAGUGAUCAAACCUACGUUGUGGUGACGGAUCGUGAUCUAACAGGCGUGGUGAUGACGGAUCGUGAUCUGGGAAGCCUGGAUUAAUUUUAAUUGUUCAUCUUCUCGUAUUGUCAAUGUAUGAUUUUCUAGAUUAAGAAUUGUUAUAUAUUGUAUGAGAUCGGUCCUAAAAGUUUUUAUAAAAAUUUAAAAAACUGAUUUUCUCCGACAUCAACAGCCUCCCUAUGCUUUCCAAUGCCCGGAGAAUUUGAAGCUCUGGCGCUUAUGCCAAGCCUUUAAAUCCCACAAACAAAUUCAGGGAGUUAGUGCAUGCCAUUCAUUUGCGGUCUUCAGAAACAGGUUGAUGUCUGGCCGUUGAUACUGAACACCUCUGCAAUUUGGAAGCAGGGAAAUUAUUUUGUUGACACAAAAGCUUCAAACCGUUGAAGCUCUACCCUACAGGAAUGUUGUACGUAUCAAAUUCCAAAAACAAAUGAUAAUUGCUGCUUCCUGUAAGGCGCCAUACCAAGAUCUGCUUUUGUAUUCAUUCAAUCAGAUCAAUCAUAUGGAUUGUCAACCUUCAAGGUUACGAUGAACUAUGAGUGAACAGAGGAGUUGGAAGAAGAAUCAUUAAGAACAGUGCAAAAACUGAGAAGCAGAUAGAGGAAGUUGGCUAUCAUUGAAGAAGAGGCAGCUUACAUUGCUUUAGUUAAUGAUGAACACUUUCAUACAAUUUCUUGUCAUUUUAGCAAUUUCUUGUCAAGUAGUGACAAAAAAUAAUAAUAUUUUGUGAUCAAGUUGGUUCAAGGAUGAGAUUUUGAUUUGAAGAUCAAGUGAGAGGGGAAAAAAAAUCAAUAAAGUAAAAAAACUACAUUGCUUUAGUUAAUGAUGAAAAGUGUCAUAUCUGCUCUUAGUUUGCAUGUUAAUAUGAUUGAAGUAUGAGAGAAACUACAUUUGUCUAAUUCUUUUUACUUUAUUGAUUUUUUCCCACUCUCACUUAAUCUUCAAAUCAAAAUCUCAUCUUUGAACCAACGAUCACAAAAUAUUAUUAUUGUUUGUUACUACUUGACAAGAAAUUAAUUGCUAAAAUGUUUAUUCAUUACGAAUAGUGUUGAACCAAGAUCAGAAAAUGACCAAUCUUGGUGCCACAAGACCUCACUAAACUCUCUGAUUAUUCACCAAGGGACAAAAUAAAUUAACAAUUGAAACAAACAAAAACAGAAUCAAAGAAAUCACAAAGAAAGAACACACACAGUAAUUAUAGAGGACUCAGGCAAAAAUGGCCAUCGUCCUGUCCAACAAGAACAAAUUACAGCGGUGAGAAAUUUUUACAAGCUACAGAAGGAACCCAACUCCAGCCUCUAUGGCUUUAUAUACAGCUCGCAAUUGAUAUGGAAAGAUCCCUCACUUACCAAGACACAUCUUUCCCGCUUCUUGCAACGGCCAUAACGCCUUUUGAUUCAGCUAAUGCACGUGCAACGCACGUGUAUUAACUAUAUUCUCCAAAAACGGCGAUAAAUCAUGUCGUUUAAGAUUCUAUGGCUGGUGAUUGCACGUGCCUCGCAGGUGAUCAGUCACUUAUCACACACAGCUGACAUAUGAUCGUUGUCGUAUGCAUCAUGUAUAAGACAACCGACAUGGCAUCCAGAAACGACGGUACAUCGACUCUUAUUUUCAUCAACAGGCUUUUUGUCUUCUCUUUUUUUUUGAAAAAUUUACAAAAAUAACCAUAAUAUUUUUACAUUUUUAAAUUUAAACCUUCAAACUUUUUUCUAUCAUAAUUAGCUAAAUGCUAAACUUUUGGACUAAAUUGUCCUCGCCACUUUCAUUAAAUUUUCAAAUAAUGCCACUCUUACAAUACUCAACACCCUCAACAAACCUUAACACUCUCAACACCCUCAACAAACCUCAAUACUCUCAACAUUCGCAACACUCUUAGCAUAACAAAAGUAUAAAAUCAUCAAUUAGAGAGUAUUCUGAAGGUUAUUCCAUGUUCUUACAGUAUUCUAAAGGUUAUUCCAUGUUCUUACACAAAUAUAAAUUUUUAAUGUAUUAAGUCUAUGGUUUAAGUUCAAAAUUGAUGUAGAUUUUGUUGUAAAUGUUGUUAUUUUUAUUUAUAAAGUACUGUAAUUUGUUAAAGUAGUUAGAUUUGAGUUGAGAAAUCCAAAAAAUCGUUGAAAACAGUAGAAAUUCGAGUUAGAAAUAAAACCUAGAUUAUGUGCAACAUGUUGAAUUAUGUGCGACAGGCUGGAUGACAGGUGCCUAUCGCACAUAAAUACCACUGUAUUUUUGUGCGACAAGCACCUGUCGCACAUAAUUCAGCAUGUCGAACAAAAUUACAGUAUGUGCGACGGUACUUUUUGGAAGUCAUAACUUAAGCUAUAUUUGUCCAUUUUUUUGCAUAUAAUCUAUCGUUUCGAAUCAAACCCAUAACUUUUUUGUUGGUCUCCCCCAUGAUCAAACAAAAAAUUUGCGUAAAAAACGGAGAAUAUUUGUGAAAUGCAACUUUUUGUGCAAUAGGUGCUCGUCACACUUAAAUUGAUGCAAAUUUUUAGUUUGAUCAUGGGGGAGACCAGCGAGAAAGUUAUGAGUUUGAUUCGUCUCAUUGUAAGCUUCGAAACGGUAUAUUAUACGCAAAAAACGGACACAUAUAGCUUAAGUUAUAACUUCCAAAAAGUACCAUCGCACAUACUGUAAUUUUGUACGACAUGCUGAAUUAUGUGCGACAGGCACCUAUUGCACAUAAUUCAACCUGUCGCACAUAAUUUGGGUUUCGUUUCUAACUCGAAUUUCUACUGUUUUUAAUGAUUUUUUUUUAUUUCUCAACUCAAAUCUAACUACUUUAACAAAUUACAGUACUUUAUAAAUGAAAAAUAACAACAUUUACAACAAAAUCUACAUCAAUUUUGAACUUAAACUAUAGACUUAAUACAUUAAAAAUUUAUAUUUGUGUAAGAACAUGGAAUAACCUUUAGAAUACUGUAAGAACAUGGAAUAACCUUUAGAAUACUCUCCAAUUGAUGAUUUUAUACUUUUGUUAUGCUAAGAGUGUUGAGCAUGUUGAGAUUUAUUGAGAAUGUUGAGAGUAUUGAGGUUUAUGGAGGGUGUUGAGAGAGUUAAGAUUUGUUGAGAGUGUUGAAUAUUGUAAGAGUGGCAUUGUUUGAAAAUUCGAUGAAAGUGGCGAGGGUAAUUUGGUCCAAAAAUUUAACAUUUGGUUAGUUAUGAUUGAAAAAAGUUUGAGGGGUUAAAUUUAAAAAACGUAAAAAUAUUAUAACUAUUUUUAUAAAUUUCCUUUUUUUUUUCUUUAACUAACAAUUAAUAAUACUAGCAUUGACAAGUGACAACCAUAAGGAGUUAAUUGUCAACAAAAUUUAUUGAGUGCAGAUAUUUUGUUGUACCAUACUUGGCAAAAUUCAACACACUCUAGUAAAUGCUGAAAACGGAACUAUUGCAGAGCGCCGGUGGGGUUCACCCGGCUGGAAAAUUAACAAAUUUCCUCCAUUAUUGUAGCCUAAAGACUUUUGAAGACUAGAGACUUAUUCCGAAAUUUCAGCAUCCAUUUUGAUUGAGUAAAAACCAUCUUUCUCGGACGAUUUCGAAGCGAUGGCAGUUGAAGAGCUCUUACUGUCUGCUUUCUUUCAAGUGUUGUUCGACAGAUUGGCUUCUCGUGAUUUGCUCACCUAUGUCGGUCAACUUCGAGGCGGGCUAGAUUCCGAGCUCAAAAAGUGGGAAAAAACUUUGAUAAUGAUACAGGCUGUGCUCAGUGAUGCAGAGGAGAAGCAACUGACGGACAGGGCUGUGAAGAUCUGGCUCGAUGAUCUCCGAGACUUGGCUUAUGACGCAGAGGACAUUCUUGAUGAGUUUGCUACUGAAGCUUUGAAGCAGAAGACGAUGGCAGAAAAUUCGAACCACAGUCCUGCUUGUUUCAACUGUUUUAGUCCAAGUUCUGUCAAGUUUAAUAUCGACAUGGAUUCUAAGAUUAAAAGUAUCACUAGCAGGUUGGAUGAACUAUGUGCUAAAAGAUUUGUACUUGGAUUGCAAUUGAUUCCUGGAGGGAUAUCAAAUGCCUGGAAGCGAAGACCGCCGAGUUCAAGUGUGCCAACGGAACGGGCUGUCUACGGCAGAGAUGAGGAUAAGGCCAGAAUACUUGAAAUGGUGUUAAGUGAUGAUCCAACCGCUGACGCCAACUUUUGUGUAAUACCAAUUGUCGGCAUGGCAGGGGCUGGAAAAACAACGCUUGCUCGGGAGGUCUACAACGACAGGGCUGUGCAAAAUUUCAAGUUUGAUGUGAAAGCAUGGGUUUGUGUUUCUGAUGAUUUUGAUGUUCUUAGCAUUUCGAGGGCUCUUCUCGAGUCAAUCACCUCCACAACUUGUGAUCUCAAGAUGUUGAAUGAGGUGCAGGUUAAAUUGAAAAUUGCUGUGGAUGGAAAAAGGUUCUUGCUAGUAUUGGAUGACGUUUGGAAUGAGAACUAUAACUUGUGGGAAAUCCUCAAAGCUCCCUUCAUGGCUGGUGCACCAAAUAGCAAAAUCAUUGUCACUACACGCCAUUCAAAUGUUGCGUCAACGAUGGGAUCCAUUGAACACUAUAAUCUUAAGCUUCUGUCAGAUGAAGAUUGCUGGUCUGUUUUUGCGAAGCAUGCGUUUGAGAGUAGAGAUGCCGGUGCUCAUCAAUUUUCAGAAUUAUUUGGUAAGAAAAUUGUUGCAAAGUGCGGAGGCUUACCUUUAGCAGCAAGCACUCUUGGCGGCCUUUUACGCGCUAGACAUACAGAAGAUGCGUGGGAGGAUAUAUUGAGCAGCAAAAUGUGGGAUUUGCCUCAAGAAACUGACAUUCUCCCCGUGUUAAGGUUGAGCUACCAUUAUCUUCCUUCUUGUUUGAAGAGAUGCUUCACUUAUUGUGCGAUUUUUCCCAAAGAUUAUGAGUUCGAGAAGAAUGAACUUGUUUUUCUGUGGGUGGCUGAGGGUAUGAUUCAACAAUCAAUGACAGAUAAACGAUUGGAAGAUUUGGGCAAUGAGUUGUUUUGUGACCUCUUGUCUAGAUCACUUUUCCAACAAUCAAGCAGAGAUGGUUGUAAAUUUGUGAUGCACGAUCUACUUCAUGAUUUAGCUCAAUUUGUUUCUGGAGAAACAGGUUUCUGGUUGGAAGAGGCAAAUAAGAAGUUAAGAACAUUCGAAAGGAUUCGUCAUUUUUCUUAUCCUCGUGCUUAUCAAGAUGGAAAAAACAAAUUUGAGGGUUUGAAUAAAGCCACAAGUCUGCGGACGUUUUUGCCUCUGAAAGUAAGAGUUUUUUCAUCUUGUUAUUAUAUAACCAACACGGUUCUUCUUGACUUGCUGCCAAAGCUCAAAAAGUUGAGGGUGCUAUCUUUAGAAGGAUACUGCAUUGCUCAUUUACCUAAUUCUAUCAAAGAUUUGAAGCUUCUAAGGUACCUCAAUCUUUCUGGUACAAUGAUCAAAAGUUUACCUGAGUCAAUAAGUUCACUGUUCAACUUGCGGUUUUUGAUGUUAAGAGACUGUGAUCGUCUACAGAAGUUGCCUUCCAACAUGAGAAAUUUGAUUAAUUUGCAUCAUCUAGAUUUAAAGGGCGCACAUUUAUUAACAGGGAUGCCAUCGGGAAUGAAUAGGUUGAAAUUUCUGCAGACGUUGUCUGAUUUUAUUGUGGGCAGGGGUAUCGGAUCUGGUUUGAAGGAUUUGAAGAAUUUAUCUUUCCUUUGUGGAAAACUUUGUAUUUCGAGAUUAGAAAAUGCGAAUGAUUCAUGGGAUGCAAGAGAAGCUUCAUUGUGUGAUAAGAAGGGUCUGGAAGAAUUGUCAUUAGGAUGGGGCUGUCCAUUUCACUCAAGAAAUGAGGUAGCAGAAGAAAAGGUACUUGACAUGCUGCAACCACAUACAAACAUAAAGAAGCUUGAAAUCACACGAUAUAGUGGCAGAAAAUUUCCAAUAUGGUUAGGGGACCCAUCAUUCUCUAACAUGGUUGCUUUAAAAUUGAUAGGAUGUAAAAAUUGCACAUCCUUACCUGCUGUGGGGCAGUUGGUUUCCCUGAAAGAGCUUACAAUUGAAAGAAUGCUUGUACUCAGAAGUAUAGGGUCUGAAUUCUGUGGAAAGAAUUGCUCAAAGCCUUUUCAAUCCUUAGAGACUCUUUGCUUCAGUGGUUUGCCAGAAUGGGAGAUCUGGGAUACCGGCAACCAGACUGGGUAUAUUGAAAUAUUCCCUCGCCUCGUUGAACUGUCCAUUUCUGGAUGCCCCAAACUAUCUGGAAAAUUACCCGACCAUCUUCCUGCAUUAGAGGCCCUUGUUGUCAGCUAUUGCGAAGAGCUGGUAGUUUCAUUCUCAAGCUUUCCUUUGCUCUGCAAAUUGGAAAUUUAUAGAUGCAAAGGACUGGUUUGCAGCUCUCCGAUUGACUCUAAGUUGAUAAAGCGUUUGACUAUUUCAAGCUGUUCUUUAGACAUAUAUGGAUGCAAAGGGAUGGUAUACAAUAGUCCACUUCACUCUAAAUCACUGUCGACGCCUGUGAAUAUUUCAAAUAUUUUAGAGUUUGGAAAAUUGUUAAAGCAAGGAUUUCUACCAGCAGAGUUUCUGGGGAUUGGCGAUUCUCAAGAUAUUCGGUCAUGGAGGCCCCAGUUUUUUCAGGGUAUGCAAUUUAGGGAGAAGGCAGCACAAGGGCUAUGGAUUAUCAUCGCCCCUGAAGAGGUAUCAACUGAAGAAAAUUGCAUGAGUCUGGUUUCAUUUCCAGAGGUAAAAUUUUUCCCGAUCAAUCGGCUUAAUCUUAAAAUUGAAAAUAGUGGAGCUUUAAAAUCCUCACUUGAGGGAAUGAUAUACAACUGUGCACAGCUGAAAAGUUUGGCCGUUGAAGGUUGUGAUUCUCUAGAAUACAUUGCAAGAGGCAAGCUGCCUUCGUCUUUAGAAUGGGUUCAAAUACUUGAUUGUAUGAAAUUGCAGUGUUUGAUAGUUGAUGAAGAGGAUGCUUCUGCUGCUUCUUCCUCAUUAUCCUCUUCAUCAAUGGCUCUCAAGUGGCUUGUAAUUAGCGGCUGCUCGGAGCUCACCCAUUUAUCAUCAAGAAGUAGACAAUUGCCAGAAGAGCUUGAAUAUCUCAACAUUGAGGACUGUCCAAAAUUAGAGUCAAUAGCCGAGAGCUUUCAUGGUAACGGACGAGUGAAAAUGAUUUUCAUCUCUAAUUGUGGAAACCUGAAAUCCAUACCGAAGGGCCAACAGAAUCUUAACUGUCUUAAGGAAAUCAAAAUCUUGAACUGUCCAAGUCUUGUUUCUUUUCCAGAAGGAGGGCUUCCCAGCACUGUUACAAAUGUUUCUAUUGGCAGUUGUGACAAGCUGAAAGCCCUACCCGAAGACAUGCACAAGCUCCAUUUCCUGCAAGAGUUAGAAAUCACGGAAUGUCCAAGUAUUGAAUCAUUUCCUGAAGCAGGCUUUCCUACCAACCUAACAUUACUUGUAAUUGCUGAUACCAAAAUGUACAAGGCAAUUAUCCAAUGGGGGUUGCACAGGCUUACAUCUCUUCUACGCCUUUACAUACAUGGAGGUGAUAAUGCUGAGUCUUUUCCAGAUGAGAGGAUGGGAAUAAUAUUGCCAACCUCUUUAAAUAGACUGGGUAUUUCUGGAUUCCCAAGUCUGAAAUGCCUAUCUGCAAUGGGUUUUCAAAGCCUGGUCUCUCUUGAAUUUCUGAGAAUAUCCAAUUGCCCGAAGCUCAAAUCCUUUCCAGCGGUAGGUCUGCCACACUCACUUUUGCAGCUGCACAUUCGAGAUUGUCCUUUGCUGAAAAAGCAGUGCAAAAGGGACAAAGGAAAAGAUUGGUCCAAGAUUGCUCACAUCCCUUAUGUUAUGAUAGAUGACAAAUUCAUCUUCGAUUAAAAAGAGAAAGAAUGAGCUCUGUUUAAUCUCCGAAUGAAGAAUUAAAGAAUUGCCUCCUUUGUUCCCUUAUCUUCUAUAAUCAGGUAUGCCAAUUCCUAUUAUCCGGGUUACUAAAAACACAUUGUUAAAUUAUAAACAUAUUUUGAUUUUCAAUUUCAAGAUCAAUCCUCUGCCUUCAACUGAAAAUGGCGCUAAAAUAUUUCAUUUUUACUUUUCUCAGACACUAUGAUACGGCAAUCUGACUUGAUGAUGCUGAAGUUUAAUGCACAAAUGGUUGGUAAGUACCUGAAAAUUUCAAGUUAUUUUAAUACUGUUUCCAUUUUCACUCAUCAGAAUUUUUUACGUAUUUUAUGCAAUCGUACUUGUCAAAUGAAGUUUUCAUUUUAUGAUGGUCUUGAUGCCAACGACAUUUCCAACUCUUUUAAGUUUUUUGAACUCUUGCGAGUGAAAGUCAAUGAGAAGAAGUUUAUGUCCUUUUCCAACGAUCAAUUCAAUUUGCUUCUAAGGAUAUAACAUUAGUCUUAACUUAUUUCAAGUAGCAGACAUGAUUCUAUCUUUCUUCUGUUGUUUUUUCGGAGGCCAAGGUUGCUCACAUUCCUUGAGUUGACAUAGAAGGAAGCAUAAGGGAAGCUCUGAGACAAUCCACAUCAAAAUGUUCACCCACUCUUUCACAGUUUGGAAUGUACUACACUGCCUUCAAAAUGGACUUUUCGAAUCAAAAGGCAGAAAGGUAAUCAAUCAUACAGGGUUAAAAAGUCGGUUAAAAGUUAGUUUAAAAGCUUCUUAUUUUGUACAUGGAUCAUGGCAACAUUUGUUUCACGCUGAUGGGCUUGAGAAAUUGAUUUGCACAUGGAUCAUGGCAACAUUUGUUUAAUUUGGAUAUUAUUUGUUUUUAUACUGGCUUUUAGUUUAUUUUAGGUUCUCUGAGCAAAAUUUUAUCCUAAUGCGAUUACUUGGAACACCAGUGUGUGUUUAAAAUGAAAUUGGGUCAUCUUAUCGCAGUUCUACGACCAAUCCAAAAAAAAUCCCCAACAAGAAAAUCAAGGAAAUCAGAUCAAUUAGUGCAAGACUUGGCUUUGAGAAUAGAAGAAAACGAAACAUAAUCUUAUAUAUGGUGUCCAAAUUAAAGAAAAUUUGAGGACCAGUUCGGGAAAUCCCUAAUCAAAUUUUAGGAAGCCGGAUAACUUGCAGCCAGAAACCAAGUGAAUAAUAGAAUAAUUUGAGUAUGUAUUGUUAUGUCUAUAAUAGUAAUUUAAAUUUUGAACAAUUUUGUAAUAAAAGAAUUUUUUUUUUUUACAGGUGGAUCUAAUGUGUGUUUUGGCAGAUUAAAAUAACCGCACCAUUUUUUACAAUCACAUAAUGAGAAAAAUUACCAAAAUCCCCUUUAUUUUCUUAGAGAUUAAUCGUUUUAGAAAUUCACUAAAUUUUUUUACAUUAAUUUUUAUAUUAAUUAUAUUUUAUUGAAGUAUCAAAUUAUUGCUAUAACAUGCGAAAUCUUUUAAUGAGUUUUAAACAUAAAGUAAAAAUGUUAAAUUUUAGCUAAUAAGAGUAGCAAUCGACAAUUCAUGGUGUAAAAAUAGCUGUAUCUACCAUUUAUAUAAAAUAGAAAAAUAGGAACCAAGAAUAUUUAAAGUACACAAUUUUUAUUUCCACUUACUUGCAUUUUUUACAUUCCUUUUUUUUCUUCAUUUUAGUUGGGGUGUUAGAUAAAUCCGUAUGGAUAUAUACUUAUUACAGUCAUUGUAGCGAUCCACAACAUUCUUCCACCACAUUAAACAAGUGAGAGAGUAACUAAGAAAAAACCCAAAAAUCCACUUUUCAUUUUAUUAAGUUGAAUUUCUUGCACAGUCUUACUUCAUUAUUCAAAAUUUUUAACUUCCUCCAAUAUUUUAAUGUUAUUCUAUAUUUAAAUAUAUAUUUCUAGUGGAUAUAAAAGGUUCUGAAAGAUGAUACAAUGAAUAUGCCUUUUGAAGAAAAAAAUGGCAAAAAAGAAAUUAUAUGUAACAUAUGUGAAUUUAAAAUAAAAUGAGGCGGUUAAGGAUUUUGGCGGUUAAGGAGUUUAUUAAUAAACAAAAGAAGAAGCUGGAAAAAACAGAGCAAAAACAGAAGCCACACGUGUGUGAGAGAGUGAGAGAGAGAAGCUAUCAACAGACUCGACAACCCGACCCGGAACCCGCGACCUUGACCCGACUAUAUCUCCCAUUUCCAGCCACCGUUUCGGCCGAGCUUGGGAGUUGUAAAUUAGGGAUAGAUGUUAAUGAUCUACGGACUCAAGGGCAUUUUAGUAAUUUUAUGGACACGGGAGUUGUAAAUUAGGGAUAGAUGUUCGUUUCGAGUUUAUUGCAUAAAUUUAGUCAUAAUUCCGAUUUACGGAAAAUUAUUAUGUCGUUUCCUUGAUUUAGGAGGAUCCGCGAGCGAGAACCGGUCCGCGGAUGUGGAUGAUAACCGACCGUGAACACCGUCACUGUGAGUGGAAUAUACAAAACCUAUUUUCAUAGUUAAUUUUGAUAGUAAAGCAUGUUUGCGAAAUAAGUAUUUUAAAUGUUCUGAUUUAAUGAUUUCUCGAAAUGGAUUUUAUUCACGCAUUGAUAUUAUAUUAAAAUGUUUGGUUAUUGAUUUUGCGUAUCGACUUUGAAUAAAGCAUGAUAGUAUUUUAAAGAUAAGAAAAGUGGAUUCAAAUGUGGUAUAAUUUAAAAUAUGAUUAAGAGGUAUGUGAAUAUAAUGAUUGUUUUUGAAAUCAUUAGACAGUACCCUUCCCUCCAGAUACAGUGAUACAUAUGAGAUGAGAUGAGAGGCCUUUGGGGCCCGUCUGAACACACAUAGAGGCUUUGGGCCGUGUGUUUGGGCGCUUUUGCCUUUUGGGGGCAUAUGCAUGCGGUAUGAUGAUUACAGAGAUACAGAUAUGAGAUACACACAGAUAUUGAGAUACAUAUGAUACAGAUGAGAUACAGGCCUUUGGGGCCCGUCUGAGUACACACAGAGGCUUUGGGCCGUGUGCUUGGGUUUUUGUCCUUUAGGGACUAGAUUAUGCAUGCACAGAUAUGAUGAGAUAUGAGAUGGUAUUUCCAUGUCUAUCUGUGUAGCUCCGGGGCGUGGCGGUACCCAAAUAGUACGUCAUUGCCUGUCCGUUGAGGUCCGGAUACGACGAGAUUAUUUCCCUGGGUACUUGUUUGGUGAUGAUUUUCAGAUUUGUGUAUUCUAUAUGAUAUUGUGAUAUGAUUUGCAUGGUUAGUAAUCUGGUUUAAAUGUUAAAUGAUUUAUUACUGGUUUCUUGCUUAUGGUUUAAUGAAAUCGUGUUUGGAAAUAAUAUGAUUAUUUCUUUUUAAAGUAAGAAUUAAUUUUCAAAACUACUAUCCACUCACUGAUCUCACUGAGUUUUAAACUCACCCUGUUUUUAUUAUAUUUUUCCCCCACACCAGGAGGUUGCAGGUACACCAGAUCGACCCAGCGACUGUAAAUAUAUUUUGAGUCUUGGCCAAUGAUGGUGUUAGAAGAUAUAAAUGGUUUUGUUAGGACAUCUUGGUUAUUUCGUCCUGUUGGGAUUGUAUAAUUUUUGUUAUAUUAUUCUUUUGGGAUUAAGAAUAAACUGAGAUAUUAAUAUUAGUUAUAAUAUUAUCUUUUGAGACUCUGGAGAUAUAAAACUCAGCAUUUUAGUUGAGGAUGUUGAUCACUGGAGUUUGUUAUAUAUUGAAUUGUAUUGAGAGUGUUAUAUUCAUAUUUGUAGAUUGGGAGUGAUAUAUAUAUAAAGGAGACUGUGCCGAAUUUUCGGCAGAAUCUUUACUAAUAGAAUUUUUAUCAAGUCCGGUUUGAUGAGACUAGAUAGACUCGUCUGGGGGGGAUUCGGGGCGGGUCGUUUCAUUAUACAAAAAUUUAGGAAACAAAAUUUUUUUUAGGUGUUUCAUGCAUCUAAAUGUGUUAUAAAUGUAAAACAAUAAAUUGAAAGGAUCUUUCACAAAUCUUUUGAUUUGAGAAGAUGAAAAUCUAUAACUAACACUUGAAUAAAUCAGGUUUAAGAAAACAAAAAAAAAAACUAUUUUUCCUAGUGUAUAUAUAUAGCUUAAAAUUAUAAUCUUUUUUAUUUUCACCAAUUAGCUUUAAAAUUUAAAAAUCUUUUUUUAUUAAAAAGAAAAUAGUUUGAAUAGAGAGUGGAAUUGGGGACUUCUAGGUUUGAAGUUUUUGGGAGUGAUGAAGAACUAAGAGCUGAAUAGCAUUGGGUGCAAACAAUUGGCGUGGCUUUGGCUUUUUAUAGGACUUCAUUGUUCACGUUACUUAUUCGACACAUGGCUUCUCAUGGGUGGAAUUUGUUUUACAACUGACUUCACAAUUCACAUGUAGCUUUAACAACUUGGGACACAUGGCUUUGACGUGGGUUGAGUUUGUUGUAAUGGCUUCUCGUGGGUGGAGUUUUUUCUGUGAUUUGCGAUUGACGAAUUGGUAAAGGCAAACGAUUUGGACUAAUUACGUCCGAACUACACAUGGGAACUUUAAGAGUGAAAUCUUGUUGCAGAUUGACGUGGUCAAGGUUACUAGGAGUGGUCUUAAGUUCAGAUUGACAUAACGGUAAUAGACGAGGAAGAGGAAGAGACGAGGUUCAACUCGCAGAUGUAGCUUGAUGACGGAGCAGCUGGCGGAUUUUUAUUUCUUAUUACUCCCUCAAGUUUAAUUAGUUUCACAAAUUCGUUUUUACGUUUGAUCUUGGCACAUGUUUCAUUUUAACUAAAUAGAGAACCAGAAAAGAGCAGAUAACUAGAGCUGAGAGAUCUAUAUGUACAAUUUAAAACUCGUUAAAAUAAAUGAUUUCAAUACAAAAAAAAUAAGGUUAAAGAGAUUACAUUUACAAUUGAUAGUUUGCGAAAGGACCAACUAAAAAGUAAACAAUAAAAAGACUUAACUUUCUAUACUGACUCAAUAAUGAUAAAGUGUCGAUAAAAAUUGACAAAACUAUAUUGUACCUUGGGGUUAUUCAUAUCGUAUGUAGUGUGCUAAUAAAUUAAGGAAAUUAAUGCUCCUGUGAAACCAAAAAAUAAUGUUCAAAAUCAUUCUCCAAAUUCAAUGUUAAAUUAACAACUUUUAGUAAGUUUACUUCUUCGAUUAUUUUUUUCUUUAAAUUUUUUAUGAAUAAACAUUUUUUUUAUCAUUUAGGAGAACCGACUAUCUUUAUUUUAAAGAAUAAGAAUGUCUGCCCAAAAAAUGAAACUCAAACCCAAAGGUAAACCACAUUUGCCAACUGCCAUUAAGAAAAAGGCGGUAGCAGAACAAUAUCAGCCAAAUCAUCAAAUUAAUUAUUAAUUGGUUUACAAUAAGAGGGUGAUGUUUCAUCUUACAGAAGCAAGGGGCAAAGCCAAUCCACCACUAGACUGGCAAAUCAAACGAAUACACAACCCUGCAACCACAGAAAAAAUCUUAAAAAUAGAGCAAACAUAAGAAAAGAUUUACAUUCAUUCAACUUUCAACCUAAUGAUAUGUUAUAUGUAGCCCUCCAAUCUCCUUUUCUUUCGGCUUUGUAAAUUCUUUUUAGCCAAAAAUAUACUUGGAUCUGUCGGAUCUGAUGACACGAACACUUUUUAAGUGUUCAUCUGUCUGCUUAGUGGGAUGACGAUUCAAGGCCGUCGAUACUUUCGGAAACAAAGACAACCUUGAAGCUGAUCACCCGGGAUCACACCCCCACCUUUCGAUGUGUCAAGGGCCUCCCACAUUGAAACUCCUUAAUCCAUCUCAGGCCGCUUAUCAGGGUUAGCAUCCCAGCAUCUCUUCAUUACAUUUGCUUGAGAACUUGGGCAGCGUCUUGGUAUCUCCGGUGUCUCAGAUUCUGUUUCAAAAUGAAUGUAGACAGAAAUAAGAAAUGGGUUGCAUUUUGAGGUACCAAUUUUUUUUUUUUCCCCUUUUUUGAGGACCUGUUGAAAAUGGUCGAUUCUUAGAGAAAGAUAAUAUUUGGGCUUGAAGCAGAUACUGUACCCGGCGAACCACGGCUAAGGUGACUUCUGAGAAACUAAGGUCGGGAUAUGGCAUAUCACAGCAAUAUAUCUCCCAUACGCAGAUGCCAGAACUUUACACAUCACAUUUCCUUGCCAUUCAGAACCAAAAACCAAGCCACUUGAUUCACUCAACUCAGAUUAAUACUGUAUCAUUAGCUAAAACAUUAGUAUUUCCACCAAACAAAAGAAAAAAAAAAGCUCAUAGUAACACGGACAUUCCAAAGCCAACACUUCCCAUCAUCACAUCAAAUGAAGCAGAAAUUAACGGGAGAUGGUGCAAUUAAGAUUUUAUAGGAAAUGACCUUAUAUGUAUGACUGAUCUUCCAGACCUAUACCCCACUACAUUUUCCUUGAAACACAUAAAGAAAAACUAACAGCCAUGAAUUAUCUUUUUCUAGUAAAAGAAACUGACCUCAAAAUCACACUACAUAUAUGCAAGUAGAAAAGAAACAGAAAUAAAGUCUAUACCUCCGGAGCCAUGACACCAAGCGUCUCCCCCCUCUCCCCCCCCCCCCCAGUCAGGUCAUUAGGAUUUGGGGCUUCAACACCGGCAACUACAAGAUCAGCAAUUUUUACAGUGGGAGUCUUGUUCAAUAAUAGCAUGUUCUCUGUUUUCACAUCUCUGUGGACAAUCUUCUGUGAAUGAAGGUUACUCAAUCUACAAAAUAUAACUGCUGAGCUGAACAAGAUUUCGAGUCACAGGCCAUCCUAUAGAGCCAUAGGGUAACAUAUGGUAGAAAAAUUACAAUUACUAAUGGGGUAGAUAUAGGUACCCUCCGUCGAGAUCAAGUGCUAGCUGGACAACCACUUUGAAAGCUAGUUUCCUUCUCCUGUGGUAAGUUUCAUUUCCUUUUAGAUUUUACCACGUGUUCAGCUUAAUUUCUUCAAAUUACUCUGAUUUAAGACCAAAUUAGACUUUCGAAUAAGGGCUUAAGCAAUAUAUAUAAUGCAGAUGACCUAGGAAAUGGGCAAGGAUACUUGGUAAUAUGAAGGGACAAUUUGGAUGUGUUCGCAAAAAUGAAAAGACAGUAACCCCUGAAAUAUUGGAUGCGAUUGAUGACUUGACGGUCAAUCUAACGUUUUUUUUUUUCUCUCUAAAUUUUUUAAAGCACUAAAUGCUCUCAGAUCCAUUUGCCAUCUAUAUUGAGUAUAUUCUAAUUAUAAUUCUAUCAUUGUUUGUCCUUUGAAAGUAAAUACUUACAAAACUGUAUUUAAUACUCUAUUUUAAACCCACCACCAAAAAUAUAAAAUAAAAUCAAAAUGUAUCUAUUAAAUUAAAUAAUUUGCACACACUACGGCUCUCAAUAGUCUGUCUACUUAUAAACUAAAGUUAUUUAUUAAUCAUGGUUAAUAUGAGAUGUAUGUAACAGAAAAACAACAAAUAGCUGGCUUGCUUUGCUCCAGAAAAAUCAUCGAGAUUUCGGUUAGGCAAACUGAGCAGUCCAAUUUUGGUACAAUAAUUUGUCUAACAAUUUUUAGUUUAGCAUUAAAUCAUAAUAUCGUUUUUUAUUAGCAUUAAUUUAAUUUCUUUUAAUUAAUGAUUAUGUUAUACGUAUAGUGUUACUCUCAUCAUCGUUUAACUUUUUUAAUCCACUACUGAUUAAUGCUUCAACAUAUUAUAAUUCAGAGAGAAUGACAAUUCCAUACCUCCUUUCUUUUUUUCCCUUCUUUUUUUUUUUUUUUGGCAUCACUUAGGUUUCUUGUAGAUUUUUAGUACCACAUUUUAUCAAUGACUAAAAAUGUUAAUUGAAAAAUUAUGCGGUUGACGGUAAAAUAUAGUUGGUUUAUUGAUACACAAACUAAUGCAUAAAAACGGGAGGUUGCUAUGUUACAGCAUCUGUAACAUACACACCCAAAGCAAAUAGCACACGUGUCCCGACUUACAGAGAAAAAGCAACGCAAAGCAAGGUUGGGGGGUUGCUGAAGCAGCAUCUGUAAGUUACAGAUGCUGUGACUUAGUCAGCUCCCAUAAAAACGUAUUAACAUUGGUCCAGUUAAUGAGGUCCUUUCAUGCCGGCGCAACAUGAUCGUGCAAAUAUGAAAUUUUCACUGAACAUUGGUGAGCCAUGGUCCAAAACAAUAACCGGACCAGUUAAUGAGGCUGGCUUAGUAUCUAUAAACAAGGACUAGCCCCAGUAUCAGUCAAUCAAGGCUUCGGCAGUUGGCAUCCCAAACCCAAUCAAGUGCUCUAUCCUAAAACUAAGAGUGGACCUUCUAACACCCCUUCAAAAUUCUUAUGAAACCUUUUUUUCCCAAUUAUUAUUAUUCUUAUUUUAAUACCAACAUACCCUUUUCCUAUUAAAUUCCAUUUACAAUUAUUUUAGUUUAUUCCAAUUUAAUUAUUUUAAGGCCUUAUUUGGUAAUGAGCUACUGUAAUUUUUACAGCUACUAUGAAAAAAAACUGUAACUAUAAAAUAAAAGUUAAUAAUAUACAAUAAAUAUAAUUUUUAAAUAAUGAUUUUGACGAAAUUAAUAAAGAUAUACUAAGUUUUUUAUCAUACAAGUAUAAAAUCAAAUCAACUUAGUUUUUUAGCUAUAAUAGUUAGUAUUUAUUAAAUAUUUUAGUACGGUAAAAAUUACAGCUCCCCAACAUCAAUUCCAAAUAAAUACUUAAAUUAGAUAGAGGCGAUGAGUUUGCAAAACUAUGUAAACUUAAGCGGAGCUUCUUGAUGGUUCCUCCAAUCGCGGUCAUGAUAGCAAAUGUUGAACUUGGAAAAACAUAAGCUGCCGAACUCAAUAAGCAUUUGGAAUAGAUAGUACAUCAUGUAGUUUUAAGACCAGUUUUUUUUUUUUAACUUUUCUUACCGGGUGAAACAAAACCCAUGCCUUACUUUUGGUCUUUUGGAUAGAUGAGUCAAAAAAAAAAAAAAAGCACUCGUUGAUUUUUCAGAUUUAGAGAGAGAGGAGCGAUCGAAGAGUUUGUAGAGAAAAUAAGAAUACCCUAGGUGUGAAACGUGUAGAUGAGUUUGUUCUUCAAUAGCAGGGUAUUAAUAGCUGUAUUGUAAGGCAAAUAGAUUUUCCCUUAAGCCCAUUGAAACUCGGCCUAUAUCUAAGGAAUAAGUAGACUUUAAUUCUCAAGCUGAUUUGGGGGACACUGGGCCAGGCUGGCUUCGUUUUGUUUUUUGUUUUCUCUCGCAAAUAAAAUUACCAAUUUAAGAGCAUCUCCAAAAGAUUUUUUAGAUUUUAUUCUUUAAAUAUCAAUUUACUUAAUGAUGUGAUAAAUAAGUGGAUAGAAAAAUACAAUCUCUUCUAAAAGACUCAUUAAAUAAGAAUAAGUUAACAUUAUUUUAAUCAAAUCUUUCCACUAUUAAAUUGAAUUGAUGUUAUGUUUUUGAAAGGAAACAUAAAUGAUAAUUAUUGCAGUCUUAUCUUUUCAAUAAAUAAUAAAAAAAUAUUAACAGAAGAGAGAAAAACUCACUCGGCAAUAUUAAAGAGUGAGAAACGAAUCUUAUUUGAAGAAUCUAAAUUAACGUGUCUUUUGAAGUGUUUAAUAUUGAUAUGACUCUUCAAAUAAGAUAUAGAAUUUUAUUUGAAGAGUCUUUUGGAGAUGUUCUAAAGUAAGGCUUUGGCUACCUUAGAGCUGUUCUAAAGUAAAGUAAGAAUCACAGCCACAUAUACAAAAUGAUAAAUAUUAAAAAAAUUAUUAUAACUUUAAUCAUAUGGUUAUAAAAAGUUGUUCUACCUUAAAGCAAUUCCAAUAUAAUUGAACUCAAUCCCAAUUAGUUAUAAACGUAAAGUUUCACUAAUGCGGUGUGUGUUUUCAUGUGUCAAAAUUAUAAUUAUUGAUUUACUUCUACAUAUGUAACGCACUACGAGCGUAAACUAUCGAAAUCGUACCAUUAUUAUAAAUCUGUUCUAAUCUAUGAGGCUUUUAAUUGAAAAUAUAAUAGAUUAUAUUGUAAUUCAAAAUAAAAACGUAUAAAUGUCAAAUAAUAAGUUAACAUACGAGUGCAGUCUCACACAAAUUUUUCUCGGUGCACGCAUUGCCAACUUGGAAAAUCUACUCAACUAAUACUUCCUUCUCUUUACUGUUGCAUUGACUUUAGAAAGUUAAUUUUAGGGGUCUUGUUACAAUGCACCAGCUGCACCAUCUAACAAGUUUUACAUUGUCCUUAACCAAUUAUUCAUUCAUAAUCGCUGAUUCACUAUAUUAUUUUUAUGCAUAACAUGUUUUUGUAAUACAUAUAGUAAAUUAUGUAUACAACGAAAAAGUUAUUAUCAAUUAAAAAAAUAAUUGCGGAUGUAUGGUGCAGCAUGCUGCGCUAUAACACACUCUAAAUUAUUAAAAUAAUAGAUAAAUUAAAAGAUAAAUAAAACAUAAAUAAAAUAUUUUAUUUUUUAAUAUAUUAAAAUAUGUGUUUUACAUACCUUUUAAAUUAUUUCUUAUUUUAAUAAUUUAAAAAAUCUUUCAUUCAAAAUCUAUUCUAUACAUAUAUUAAGUUGGCCCAUUUUGAUAACAUAAUAUUUACAUGCAUGAACUUGAUCACUAACACAUAUACUACAUGAGUCGCACCUGAUGAAAAUUCCAUAUGAUAUAUAUUCAAGUGAUCCAGAUCGAUAGACAAAUUAAUUGUACCAACUACCAUGUUACAGUUAAAAUUGGAAAAUAAUAUAUAGUACAUCUUCCUUUUAUGUAGCAAAAUAAUAUAUACAGUACAUUUUUCCUUUACGUGGCCCUCAUGACGUCAAGGUAUAAAUCAUCAUGUGACAGUGAUUUAAUGUGGACAUCUAAUGGACCGCCAAUAUCCAACACUGAAAGUUAAAUCAAUUUUUGUCUUUCAACAAUUGUAUAUCAACAAUUUAUGGUCCUAAUUUUAACAUAAUGUGAACGUUCAAAGAAGACAAAAUACUUGAAAAUUUAGCAACCUAUUUUUCCACGUGAGGAGUCAAGCUCCCCCUCCAUUGCCUUUGCAUUUAUUUUUCAGUAAUAUCACUUUUUACUUUAUAUAUGAGAUUUUUAAAAGUAGAUUUAGUAGUCAGAUUGUGUAUAGAUAUCUAGAGUGCCAACGAACUAUAUAAGCUCUGCAUAAAGGAACUUUUUUUAUUCUAAGCUCCCUAGCUUUUAACGGUCUUAUUCUACAUUUUAAUCGUAUAAUAAUAUUGUAUAAUUGAGAUUUAAUUGUUAUUAUUAUAUUUUAACUUACUAACCACGAAUUAUUUACGUAAAAGUUACUCAAAAAGAACUCAUAUUAGGAGGGAAUAUGGUCAGUAAGUAACCAAAGUAUGCCACAACAAAAAAUGAUUUAGAUAUGCUAACGGUAAAUCUUAACUAGUGCUUGUACUACUUAUACAUGUACGUUUGUACUACCAAUGGUGAAGCCAGAAGUGUCCAGUCUGAGCAAGUACUACCUUAUUAAGUUAAUUUUCUUCCAAAACUUCAAUCCAGAAAGUGUGAGAAACGACAAGCACCGUGCUUCAAUUUUCCCCUCAAAAAGAAACAAGCAAGAAAAGAAAAAGCACACACGCUAUACUUUUUAGUUCAACUUCCUCGGUGCUUUAAAGCUCUUUGGGAGCUGCUGUCGAAGUGUACUCGGCAAAGGUUAGCCUGGGUCCAAUUGUUCUCAUUUGCAGGUCAGAUCUAAAAUUGGGUCAGCAAGAUAAUUGCAUAAUUGAACCCAAUUCAAACACCAUAAUUGUUUUAGAAAGACUGAUAUGCGUUUGUAAUUGGUUUUGGUAUAUUUGUAUUUCACCAUCAGUGCGGCAGCUUUUUUUUGGGGAAAUUUUACAAAUUAGCCAUUAAAAUUUUGUAUUUUUCACUUUUAACCCCACUAACUUAUUUCUAUCAAUAUUAGCCAAACAACAAACUUUUGGACCAUAAUACCCUUGCAAUCUCACCCAAAGCUCACCAAAGCUUGAACUCACCUACACUUCUCACCAAACGGAAGCACCAUAGAGAGCCAAAUCGGAGACCAUCAUCGGCGGCAAUCUCACCGGAAUCCCGUUCAGCAACACUAAUUCCACCAAAAUCACGUAUAAUAGCAAUCAAAAUCUACAAGAUAACAGUUGAAGUUCAAAAACCCUAGGUUAGCAAUUUCAAACACAUGCUUUAUAUUGUUCUUGUGUUGUGUUGUAAUUGUGUGUUGUUGUGAUGAUGUUUGUGGUGGUUGGUGGUGGUUGGUGGUCUAUUGUCGGACUGUGUUGGAGGCAAUACGUUGCAAUGGCUGUUGACCAAUUUGUGAAAAUUUGAAUUUUUUGUGCGACAGGUUCCCGUCGCACCAAAUUUUGUGCGACUGCCUUUCUGUCGCACAAAAAAUCUUAUUACACAAUCUGAAAUUUUGUGCGACAGGUUCCCGUCGCACCAAAUUUUGUGCGACUGCCUUUCUGUCGCACAAAAAAAUCUGAUUACACUAUCUGAAAUUUUGUGCGACAGGUUCCCGUCGCACCAAAUUUUGUGCAAUAGAUGCUGUCGCACAAAAAAAUCAUAUUACACAAAAUUUAGGUUAUUUUCUGGAGGUCAUAAUUACAGCUAAAUAAAUUCAUUUUUUGUGUAUAAUAUAUCAUUUCAACGCUUGCAACGAAACAAAUCAAACCCACAAUGUGUAACCACAUUUGUUAUAUUUUUUGUAUAUUUUGUAGAUUUAAUGGAUUCAGUUGUGCUUCAACUGUGUUACGACGGUUGGUGGGAGACGUUGGCGGAUGGGAGUAUGGAGUACGUGAAUGGCAAUAAUACAGCCUUUCUAAUUCGAAAAGACUGUACAUUUGAUCAGUUUCUGGCAAGAGUUUAUGAUGUGUUACAGAUAAAUCGUAAUGAAUACAAUAUCACCAUGAAGACAACUUUGAGGUCUAGUAAUACAAUGUAUCGUACAUGUUCACUGCCUAUGGACAUAUUUAACGAUGAAAUAGUCAAGGUUGUGUUACAUAUGGCCUCUGAUGUGGUAAAUUACGGAUGCAUUCCUAUUUUUAUGACCACAUCUUCUCGAGUUGAUUACCAAGAUCUUGAGCCACCUGUAGAAACUGAAACUUCUUUUAGAGCAAAUGUCUCUGUCCCUGAUAGUGAAGAAGAGGUAUUACCACAGACACUGUCUUUACAACAACGUUACUCUCCACUCCACGGCUACAAUGACACUAUUAAUGACAAUGGCAUUACCCUAGCGGAUGUUGAAGCAGAGGCAUUACCACAGACAUUGUCAUUAGAGCAACGUUACUCUCCAUUCUACAAUAAUGAAUUUCGCAGUAAUGAUGAUCCUAUUGAUGACAUCGGCAACACAGCAGUAGAUAAUGUUUGUAUGGAACCAUAUAAUAAUACAACGGACAACCAUUUCAAUAGUUCAGUUUGUGAUGGAGGCGUUGGUCCUUCUCAUAUUCCUACUAAUGUUGAUGAUGAUGAUCAGAAUAGUAUUCCUAUUAAUAACAUUGCCAGCCAACCUAUUCCUUCAGUGCCACGUUCGAGAAGGAGAACAACAGUUGACCACCUCGCACAACUUGCUCCAGUUUUACCUUCAAACUUAGCUGCUCCUAACUUGGUCAGAAAUUAUAAUUAUGAUGAUAUUAGUGUGGGUAAGUUGUUUGUUGCCAAGAAUGAGUUAAUACUACAACUGCGUAAAGUUGCCUUGAGGGGUAAAUUUGAUUUCAGGAUCACACGGUCCACAACAACACGUUUCGAGGCCCAGUGUUCUUCGGAAUUAUGUAAAUGGCGUAUUCGAGCAACAAGAGUUUCGAAUGAGCAGAAUGUUCCGUGGUUAGUGAGAAGAGUUGACAACGUACACACUUGUUGUAAUGAGGUAUUGGCUGGUGGUGUUCAUCAAGUAAGGAGUCGGGUUGUUGGUCAUAUUAUUACGGACAAGUUCAUCCAAGAAAAACGAAUAUAUACUCCAAAUGACAUCAGAGCAGACAUCCAGCAGGAAUACGGUGUCCAAUAAUUUGUAAUUUCCUCAUUUGCAUCUGCCUGGAGGGUUUGCAUAACAUUCCCCUGUCAGUUGAUUACCAAAUUUGAAGUUAGAAAAUCUUUUUAGUACUUAACAUUUUUAUCGUUGUUUAAAUAUAUAUAAUACUUACAACACGAGUGUUAUCGUUGAAAAACGAAUGCACUGCAUCAUAAGUUAUUUUCGAAGAAACAAAUGCCUUCCACUUUAAGAUGCGGGGAAUAUGAUUGUUUAUCUUUACGGCCCACAGUGAUGGUAUCCCCUUGAUCACUUUGAAAAGCCAAGCCUACAACAAACAAAGUUAAAAAACCACAUAAGUUAAUUUGGUAUAAAUAUACUACUAACGAACUCUGAUAUUAUUUUUUUUUUACCAACUCACCUGAACCCCAUGACUGAACCCAUAAAUAUUGUAUUUCUCAAUAUUAUGAGAUGGAUCUUUCAAACGCUCCAUCUUAAAUUUGUUGGCCUUCUGGUUCAAUGCAUUGUUCAAACUGUCGUAUAUUAUUUCCCACGAUAAACGACCCCAUGGACGACUUCGAAAGUGGUCUAUAUCGUCAACAUGAUUCAUUAGCUGAAAGUCAGCUUGACUAUGAUCCUUUCUCCCCUUCAGUACCCUAUCCACAAAGUAAUACAACGCGAUUUUCAAGGCAUCAGUGUCGUCCAUGGCACGAAAUUUCAAAGCGGAAAAUCUAGCAUCCAAUUGCUUGAGAGUCAAGUCCUUAAACCGACCACCGAAGUACUUAUUAUGCAACCUAUGUUGCGUCUUCAAAUUUUUUGGUUCGACGUUCGGACCAUUGGAAAGCCCCGUAAUGAGGCACCAUUCUCCAAUUGAUAAACGAACCAAGUGCUCUCCAAUUUGAAACCAUAAUUGAUUUUUAUUAGUUUUUUUAUGUGCCACUUGCCUAAGCAAUAGGUUGUGAAAUAUAACACCACUGAAAUUAUAACUACCCAAGUCCAGGAAGUGCCCAAAAACAUCACUUCUAAACAAUGACAAUUGCUUGUGCGUUAGCUUACACUGGAUAGCUGCGAUGACUUUUUUAAAUUUUGACGUCUCUGAAAUACGACCCGGGAAAUGAUCAUCAAAAUAUAACUUCAUCACGCCCGGCUCCUUCCCAGGUUCAGGCGAAUUGCGCUUUGCCAACUUAGUUUUCGCCAUCUACCUGAGACAAUUGAAAUUUUAUUCAUUAUUGUGUUAUUUAUAGAAUAAUAAUAUUAAUAAUAUAAAAUAAAUAAGGUAUCUACAAAGUAAAAAUGGCCUUGGGUGUAAUCUAUAUUUUUAUGCGACAAUCUAUUGCUGCAUUUUUUUAUCACACACGAUCUGAAUUUUUGUGCGAUGAGUGCCCGUCGCACAAAUAUUUUUGCGACGGCCACUUAUCGCACAAAAAAAUAGUCUUUUCUUUCAGCAACAUGCUUGAAUUUAAAGUCGACGGCCACCCGUCGCACAAACUUUGGUGCAAGGGGCACCGGUUAUACAAAAAUUAAGAUCAAAUACUCUUGAAAAAAAAUCUGAAUUUUUGUGCGACGGGUGCCCUGUCGCACAAAUAUUUUUGCGACGGGCACCCGUCGCACAAAAACUCAGAACAUGUGUUGUGAGUUUUUGUGCGACGGGCACACUGUCGCACAAAAAUUUUUGCGAUGGGCACUCGUCGCACAAAAAUUCAGAAUGUGUGUUUUGAGUUUUUGUGCGACAGGCACACUGUCGCACAAAAAAGUUUGCGACGGGCACCCGUCGCACAAAAAUUCAGAACGUGUGUUGUGAGUUUUUGUGCGACGGGCACACUGUCGCACAAAAUUUUUUGCGAUAGGUACUUUUGUGCGACGGACAAACUCGCGCAAUGGGAAUGGGUGCAGCAAGCAUCGCGCGAGCUGCAGCAACCAUCGCGAUGCUUGCUGACCCAUCGCGCGAGAUCGCGCGAUGGGUACUGCAGCUCGCGCGAGCUCGCGCGAUGCUUGCUGCAGCUCGCGCGAUGCUUGCUUCAGCGCGCGCGAUGGGUGCUGCACCCAUGGCGCUGCAGCCCAAUCCCGCUGCACAAUCACACACCCUUCGCACAAAAAAUCUCCGUUACAAAACAACACACUCCCAAAAUCCACAACCACCAUUACAAGCACUACCACCACCAUUGUUAUUCUCAAAUUUCAUUCUUAAUUAAUCAAAUAUAAAUAAAAUGGCUUACUUAUGUUGAUGGUGUGUGAAGCCGUCGCCGGUGAUGGUUGAAGCUGCUGCCGUUUUGCCUCUUGGAGAUCUCACGUGAAAGAGGUGGAGUUGGGGGAGAGAUGGAGAGGGCACUUUGGUCUUGAAAUUUUAGUUUUGGCUAAUAUUGAUAGAAAUAAGUUAGUGGGGUUAAAAGUGAAAAAUGUAAAAUUUUAAUGACUAUUUGUGUAAAUUUCCCUUUUUUUUGAAGUAUAGUGAAUGAACAGAGAAAUUUGUCGGCAAGCUUAUCCCAACUCCUUGAUUGCUAGUUUUAAGUGUCUAUUCACAACAAUGAGCCAAGUUGAUUCAUCUCACUACCGGUAUUUAAGGUCAAAUUUAUUAACUUAAAUCUAAUAUGUUAUUAUACAACUUAAACGAUAAUCCCAAGUUUUUUAAACUUUUAACUUUUGUAUGAUCAAAUAAAAAUCAGUUAGGUUGCAGUAGCCAACACAAGAUAACUAAAAACAGAACAAAUUCCAUGAAAAGUUCACUAAAAAGUCUUUAAAAAUAAUUGCUUUGUACUAUAAAAAUUAAAAAAAAAAAGUGUUCCCGCACACUUUGAUGUACUUAAUUUUUUUGUCUCAACCUCUCAAUGGUAGUCAAAAAGUUUUCAAACAACCAACUUUGAUCUCGUAAAUUUAGAUUUAGAUAAACAUAUGCAAAUCUACCACAUAUCUUAUUCUAACUAUUAAAAGUAAUGCUUUCCAUGAUUUUCUUAAGUAAUAAGAAAUUUGUAGUGUUUUGAUUGCCUCAAAAAAUCCCAAGAUCUUUGUCAAGAUAAAUUCAAGUUGCAUAUGAAUCAAAUGACCAACCUUGAUGACUCAAUGAUUAACAAGAACCUAGUAAACGAAUUUUAGAGACCAGAAACACAAGUAUCAAGCCAAAUUGGCAACCAAAACACACAGAAAAGAAGACUGAUUUUACGUGGUUCAAUUGUGCAAAGAAGCACAAUCUACCAGAAUGAGUUUUUACUGAUGAUUGAAGUUGAAUUUAUAGAGCUUUUACAGAAUAGAUGACAAGGAACGGGAUGACUCUUUCUCUCUGUCUCUUAUAUCUCUCUAGAACGCUCUUAAUUCCUCACUGAAACUGCCUCAACAAUCAGCUUUGUAUAACAGCCGAUAACAAACCGGAUUGCACCAGUUUCUGCCACGUGGAUAACGGCCUGCAACAAUCUUGAUUCCCCCUCACAUGCUUAAUCACGUGCAUGACUUAAGUCUGAGCCAAAACGUCUUCAUGUCUUGCCGGUUAUUAAGUGAGUCACACGUCCAUCACGUGACAGCUUGAAACAAAUUGAUAGGCAAAACGAUGCCGUUUCACAUGUCCAAGUUUUAAAUUCAGCAAAUUAGUCCACAAAAUUAAAGUUAUUUAUUUUUUUUUUAUCCAAGGACAACUCUUUGCUCAAACCAAAAACUCUUGAUCUUGAACAUCUUUAUAAUCACAGAGAGCCACCUGAAGCUUGGCUGCUCAUCAGCCUCGCUUGGAUUCAACCACUUGAGAGGACACCAACAUUAAUUUUUGCAUCUGAUGUUCUGCCAAUAUUUCCCUCGUCAAUCCUUCCGCAUUGGAAGCAUAAAACAUUAAAGAAAACACUGAUAAUAAAAAAUUAAGUGACAAUUCAAAAUGUUAUACAGUUAAUGUUAAUUAUUAAACUCUAACAAGACAAGAAAGAAAUUAAGAACAUUAAUUGUGAAAAAAAGUGAAAUAUUGAUUCAAAAUUAUAGAUCUUAAUGUAUGAAGCUAUAAAGGAAACGCCCAGAGGAUCUGUUUUGUGAUGAAAAUUUAAAAUUUAUGUUUUAAAAUAAUAAUAAUAUUUUGAAAAUUUGCACAUGUAAAAAAAUAUAGAAAUGUGUGAAUAUGUUUUCAUUUAGGUGGUAAUUUUGCUCGCCUAAUCAUAAUUCUUUUUUAUGUUGUAUGAAAAUAAAAAAAAUAAUUGAAUAUUAUUUAGAGAUAUAUACUAAAUAAUUUAUUAAAAAAAGUUUACAAUCUAUAUACAAAUUAUGAUCUAUAAUUUAAUGAGAUUCUGUAUAAUUGCACUUUAAAUUGAUAGUACAAUCCAGAAGUUUUUCGAAAAUUAACUUGGAAAUCUACUCUCAUAAAUAUACAAAAAGAUAUGUACGGUAUUUUAAAUUAAAAAUAUAAUAUUAUAAUUCAUUAUUAAUUUGGUUUGUAUUAAUGGGAAUCUUCCUUGCAUUCUUCUUUUAGUUGUGCCAAGGAUAUCCUUGAAAAGGAAAUGCUUCCUCAUGUUCCUAUGACUGAAUUCUCUAGAACUAAGAAAGCUUAUUAUUUUGGGUAACUAUAAUCCUUCUAUAUAUUAUCAUUGUCAUUACUUUAGAGUAGUUACAGAUCUUAUUGAUCCUUUCUUCAGCUAUAUUAUACAUCGGCUUCUUCUUUGUGCAUUUGGCCGGUGGGUUAAAGAUGAUAGAUAUCAUUAUGGCAACAAGAGGUUGGACCUUGCUGGUUCAUUACUUAGAAGGCUUGUUUAGGAUGGUUUGUUUCAUUUUUGUGUUGAGGUAGUUGACUUUACUUGUGAUCAUAAGAAUGAAGAUGUAUCUCUUUUCUUUUAACACCCCACUUUUAUAACUAAAAUAAGAUGAUUUAUUUUAAAAUAUUUAAAAUCUCAAUUUUUUUUAAUAUAAAUACGGAUAAUUAAAAAUUUUACAUGAUAAGCAGAAACUUCAUUACAAAAUAUAAGAGACACAUAGAGAUUCCUUAGUAUAUAUUUCAAAACUUCGUUAUUAUGUAAGAGAAUUUAAGAUAUUUAUUUUUUAUAAGAACACAACUAAGCCCAUCACAGUCCAACGGUUUGACAUGCCCAUAUGCAUUUCAUCUUGGUUGGGACUUGGCGUCAGCUUGAUCUACUCAUUAUUACCUACAAUGUAAGGAUUGCAUGAGCCAAUACCUAGUAAGAUAACAUGCAAGUAUAAAUUGUUAUGCACAUAGAUGAGCUUAUGAACAUUAAAUCUCUAAAAGAAACAUAGAAAUAUAAAACAACUUUGUUAGGGCCCUACGUACAUUGCACGGCAAAGUUGGCAAUUUUCAUUCUUUAAAAUAGCAUCCCCUUAGGCCUAAAUUAAUAAUUGAUCUUUGGGCAUUGCAUAUCGCCGUCCCCAAAAGAUUACUCUUUAUUUAGCUUUGAGGGCUUGCCCUUCUUGGAAAUUUUACCACCCCAGUAGUACAACAAUCCAUUGUUCAAGACUCAUUUUUAAAAAUGUCUUCUUUGUAAAGUAAUCUUAACAUAUUAACAUGAAAUGCAUGUGUUCAAUGCAACCUAUAUCAUGACAUGUAAUUUUCCUAGAUAUAUAACAAAGCCAACCAUACAAAGUUUUCUAAAGACAACAAUCUUUAGUAUAGGCAGCAGUGCCGUCCAUAUAAAGAUUAAAUAAAAAAUGUUAUUAUAAUAUAGAUGGGAGAGUGGACUAGGGGUGGCAAAAUAACCUAGACCCGGCCCGGACCCGGAUGAACCCAGAUUAUCCGGUGCAGGUUGAACCAGGUCCAGAGAUAAAAAUAAUGCGGAUCCGGAAUUCAUUUUAUAAACCCGGACAUAUCCGGGUCCGAAUCCAGGUUUACGUAAACCCAGAUCUCCGAAACCCAGACCCGGCUAUCUUGAUUUUAAAAUUUAUUAAAUAAUUAAUUUUAAGUUAUUAAAUCUAAGUAUAAAAGCAAAAAAAAAAAAGGAAAAGAAAAGAAACCCUAAAACAAACUGCAGCCGCAGCAGCCCUGUUUCUCCUCUUCUCUCACCUUCUUCAAUCUUCACGCCACAAAGCCCAAAUUCAUCAUCGUCAAUUUGUCAUCAUCCUUGUCAAUAUUCAAGUAAUUCCCAAGCAUCAUCAUCAACAGCUCAUCAUCAUCCUCAAUAUUCAAUUCAUCUCGUCACCGUUCUUCUUCACUAAUUCGUCGCGUCGCCGUCCAUGAUUCACCAUCGUCUUCAUCGCGUCACCAUUCAUCUUGAUUACAUCGUCAACAUACAUGCUUCUUGGGAAUUAAUAGUGCUCUGAGGUGAUAUUAACAUAUGUGGGUCAACUUUUAUCUUUAAAUCAUGAUCAUUUCAAUUCAUUUAUAUUCAAGUUGUCUCGAUUGUAAAGAAUCUAUAAUCCUUUAAUUCAUUGGUGCUUGUGAUUUGAACUCUUUCUGGAAUUUUUCAUAACCUGAAACGGGUUUAUGUUUUUCAGUUCAUUCAGUUAUCCGGGUUUUAAACCUGACAUCCGGAAACUCAAAUUUCUUCGAGUUGAACCCGCACUGGACCCGGAGCCAAAAAAUCCAGGUUUAUAUCCGGAUCCGAAAUGUAAAAUUGCCAUCCGGGUCCGAAACCGGGAAGGCUAAACCCGGACCUGGACCCGGAUUUUGCCAUCCCUAGAGUGGACCAUAUCAUAAUUAAAUAAAAAUAUCACAGUAUAGGCAUAGCCAACCAUAUAAAAAUUAAAUGAGAAAAUAUGAAAAUAUAGGCGGCAUGGCUGACCAUAUAAGGAUUAAAUAAGAAAAUAUCAAAUAUAAGUGGCAUAGCCAACCAUAUAAAGAUUAAACAAUAAAUAAUCACAUCAUAGUAGUCAUCAUAAGAUAAAAAAAUAAUUAAAGAUGAAUUUAAGUAUGGAAAGAACAUUAUCCGUAAACUACAGUUGAAGUGUUACUUACCUCUUAAUCUUGACUUCUCUAGGCCCUCAUAAUUUGAGGAUUUCUCUAUUGUUUGAUGUUAUUACUUAGAAUAGAAAAGGACAGAAUUUCUAAAGUGAUAUAGAAAAUGAAAGGGCUAGGGGUACUUUUAGGAUUUACUAAAGCUAAUGGAUGGUUAGGAUUUUGCCAUUAUAACUUUUGAUUAAUGGUUGAGAUUUAUCCUUCCAUAAAUAUCUUUAUAAAUUCUAGAAUUUAUAAAUAUUUUAUAGAUAUCUUGUUGCAUAAUUACUUAUGUCAUCGCUUAUGUCAUCAUUACUCUAGAAUUUUCUAUCAUAAAUAUUUUCUAUUAUUAUUAUUUUAAUAGGUAAGGGGAUUUAUUAGCCUAAAAAUUAAUUCUACUAUAUUCAAAUGAGAAAUUUAUAUCUCACAAUUUCCUCCCCAUUAAGAAAAUUUUAUGCUCGAAAUUGAUUUAUUGAAUAGCUCAGGAUACUUAUUCUUCGUAUUUUCUUCACGUUCCCAUGUUGCCUCCCCCAUCGAGCUAUUUCGUCAUAGUAUUUUAACUAGAAAAAUCUUCUUGCUUUUUAUCUCCUUUAUCUUUCUAUCAAAUACUUGGAUUGGACGUUCUCCAUAGGUUAAGUUUUCUCCUAGUUGAAAAGCCUUAUAAUCUAGCACAUGAGAGGGGGUUUGUAACAUAUUUCUUUAACAUGAAGAUAUGAAAAGACAUUGUGUAUCCUUGACAAUGGUAGAAGAGCAAGUCGGUACGAAACGUUCUUGACAUAUUCAAGUAUUUCAAAUGGUCCAAUAAACCUCGAAAUUAAAUUUCCUUUUACAAAUACCUUAUCACCAACUUGAAAUUCUGAAGGCCUUAAGCUCUUAUCUACAUGACUUUUCUGUUAACUUUGAGCUGCCUAUAUUCUUGGACGUAUUUUCUCGAUCGCCUUAAAUGAGACAACAAUGAGGCCGGGCCCAAGCUACCUUUGCUCGCCCAUUUCAUUCCAAUGAAUAGGUGACCUACAUUUUUUACUAUAUAGAGUUUCGUAGAGUGCCAUGCCGAUUAUUGCUUGAUAGCUAUUAUUGUAGGCAAAUGCAACCAAAGGUAGAUAUUUGCUCUAUGAUAUUUGAAAGUCGAUAGUGCAUCCCUGUAAUAUAUCUUCUAGUGUUUAGAUCGUUGUUUCUAACAGACCAUUUGUUUGAGGGUAAAAUGUUGUACUAAAUUUUAAUUUUGUUCUCAUAGCUCUAUGUAACUUUUCCUAAAAUGUUGAGGUGAACCUUGUAUCUCGAUCAAAGAUAAUAGAAAUAGGUACACCAUAUAGUCUUACUAUCUCCUUUAUGUAUAUUGUUGUGCAAAUUUUAAUGUACUCGCAAGCGCACGAAUCUAUUAUAGUAUAGACUAAUGGUGACAAGUGUCGAUCCCACGAGGAGGUGGAUUUUAAUUGUGUGUAGAAUUAAUUUUGUAAAUGGGUGAUUGGAUUUGUGGUGGAAAUGAUUUGGAAUAUGCUAAAACUUAAAUUAAAAUGGUGAGAAUAAAUUCUAAAAUUAGAAUUGAAAUGGCGAGAAUAAAUUGAAGAGAAUUCGAUUAAAAUGACGUACUUGGGUAUCUGGAUCCGUAUCAACAUGCAUCAUGGGUUAAAUAAUCCGUAUUAAUACCAAUUAAAUCAUGAGGGGGGAAUCCACAUCUCAUGAACCACGCUCUAAUCAAUAUGGUGCUAAGGGCUUAUCGUGCCAAAUAAUAAUAACUUUGUACUAGAGGGCCGGUGAAACCAAUGCGGUACUAGACAAGAAUAUUAUUAUUUGUCAACGAGAAGUCAAAACAUCCAUAAAAACUAGAGGGGAAGAGAAAAUAAAUUUACCAAAUUAAGCCCAUGACACAUGUUGAGAUUUCACCUUCAACCCAAGCUUGAAAGAAAAUUAGCCACUCAUAAUUGAACUAGGGGCAAAAUGAGAAUUUAUUAAAAUACGAAGAAAAUACAAGAUGGAGAAAGAAUUACAGAAAAUGGAUCCCAAAAAUGGAUUCAGAGAUAUCAAAUUAGGGGGGGGAGGCCCCUUUUUAUAGAUACAUGAAGUAAAUCAUGGCCAUCGGAUUAAAAACAGUUUGGACGCUCAGGAUUGCGCCACAUCAUCAGUCAACAGUAUGCGAUUUGACCACGCGGAUGAACAGUAACACGGUUUGACCCAGGUGAACAGUGAUGCGGUUUUGUUGAAAAUAAUCCUGUGUGAUGCAUAUACCGUACGCGAGAUUUUUGGUCCAGUGAUAUGCUGCCACGUCACCAUCAACAGUACAUAAGAAUUUUAGUCCAACAGGAUCGUGACACCUCAUCAGUCAAUGCCACAUCAUCGGUCAAUGCCACGUCAUCGUCCAUCUAUGUGAACAGUGCCGUGAAUAGUAACGUAUACAGUACCGUACACGUGAAUAGUACCGUACAUGUGAACAGUGCCAUUUUUCUUUUUAUGCUCCUCCUAAGGUUUUCGACCGUCCUGAGUUCAAAAGUGAUGUCCGUUUUGCCAUCUGAUCUCUCGUUUAUUGUGAAAUGACUACGAUGCCCCUAAAAUAUAUAAAAUACUUAAUUAAAAUAAAACACACGGAAUUAAAUUAAAAGAAGGUUAAAUUUAUAAAAAUAAAGGUGUUAGUAAAACUUGUAGUGUAAAAUUACGAUUUUCUCCUUUAUAAAUAUACAUUUUCUAACACUCAACAUAUAUUUCUGCAAAUUGGUUUAUAGUGCACGUCAUUCAAAUAGGUAAAAAGUGGGCAGACUUUAUGAGUCAAUUGACGAUAAGCCAAAUGACAUCAUGCAUUUCUUUUUCAAUUUUUUUAUUACUGUUGGUAUUUAUGCAAGUUUUUAGAAAGUUAAACUGGAAUGUGAAAGCUUAUGUGAAGAAGGUUCUAAGUAUUUGUUGCUUUCUUUCUUUUUUCCUUUUUGUUUGAUUUGAAUCACUUUUUUCAUUUCUUCUGGUUUGCACUCAUGCAGUUCAUCCAUUUUGUAAAUGUUGGAUAAGGAUCUAUAUGUUAAUUUGCAAUAUGCUAUUUUAGCUAAAACAAUUACCCAUGGUAUAUAAAGUAUUCUUUAGCUACCGGUAAUUGGGGCCAGCUAGAUGCGUUUAUUACAAGAACAAAAGUGUCAAAGAUUUUUUUAUUUUUGAUCCAUUUAUUGUGGUCUUUCACAAAUGUUGAAUUACAUGACAUGCGCCUCUACCUUGUCGCAUUUGCGAACACUGUGUUCUCCCACAGGGCAAAAAGGUAAACUACUUAUUGUUGUGCAUGAUUUUGUUUUAUUGAGGAUUCAUUCAUGCUUAGUUUUGUUUUUCUUUUAUGCAUCACCAUGUUGUUAUUUUGUUAAUUUGUUGCAUAUAAUUAAUUGUUUUCACUUUAUUUUUCUAAAGAAGUUUUCAUUUACUAGGUACACAAGUAAAACCUAAGCUGGCACAUAAUACACAAUGGGUUAAGAUUUGUUCCUUUCCAACACUUUUAGGACAAGUAAGUUAAAAUUGUGCUUAUAGGAUAUAUCUAUAAUAUCUAUUUCUGAUUGUAGCUUACAAGAAUUUGUUUUGGUUAAUCCAGGCCUGUGGACUAGUGAAGAAUCUUGCUUUGAUAGUCAAUGUAACCCUCGGCUCAUUAGUAUUUCCCAUUAAUGAGUUAUUAGAAUAUGAGCCAAUAGUAGAAGCCAAGGUGCAUUUUGUAAUUUAUGGCACUUAGACGUUAAUUAUACAUAUUUCAUUUAUGGCAUUUAGACGUUAAUUAUACAUAUUUCAUUCACAUUAUUUCAAUUUUCUCUUAAUUCUAGGAUGCUACUGCAAACUUUUUUCUACAAGCUACAAAAUUUUUUGUCAAUGGUUGCUGGGUGUCAUGCAUGAUGUUGGUUCAUUGGUCCAAGCUUUGAGACACUUGAAAAGAAAUGUCAUUAUACUUGUAUUUCAUCUAUUCGUAAAGAAACCUCCGUAUUAAAAGUUGGCAAACCUAUUGGUGUACUCUAAACUUUCUUUAGUAUUAUUUAUGCCAUUUCUGAACUAUUUUGUUUGUCUACCCAUGUACAUGACUUUAUAAAUGCUGCAAUUGGGGUUUCUAGGGAUAUCCAUUCAAAAGAAUUGUGUAUAUACACUGAUUUUGGUCGUUGUUGUCGUCCAUUGCUUAUUGUCCAGAAUCAAAGGCUUCUUAAAAAGAAGAAAGAUAUUGACGCCUUCUAUGACAAGGUUAGCCAAAUAGUUCUCUCUCUCUUUUUUAUUAAUGAUUUGUCUUUUCUGUAGUUACAUGACUUUUAUCUUGUUAAUCUUCUAGAAAUCUUUCGAAGAUGGUUGUUGGUGUGACCUUUCUAAAAAAAGGGUUUAUAGAAUAUAUUGAUCCAUAAAAAGAAGAAACCAUAAUGAUUUGCAUGACAAUCAAUGUGAAUAAAAUGGUAUUGGUUGGUCGAAAACCUGUUAUCGUGAGACGUAAUUUUUAAGUUGCUAAAAAUUUGAUUAACACAAAUUUGUUUCAGGAACUUGUAAAUGCAAAGCUUCAUCUAGAGGAGGCUACUUCUAAUGCAUACACGCAUUAUAAGAUUCAUCCAUCCUUGAUAUUGGGAGCUUAUGCUUCAAUUAUACCAUUUCCCGACCAUAAUCAGGUGCGUCAUGCUUAUGACAUUUCUCUGGUAAAAUAUGUUUAUAUAUUGACUCAAUCUCACCAAUUUUUUCUUUCUUUUUCUUGAUGGGGUUUGCUUUUAGUCCCCAUGUAAUACGUUUCAAGCUGUAAUGAGCAAGUAAGUAAUUGGAAUCUAUGCUACAAACUACCGAUGACAUAUGAUACUGUAUUUGGUUUCAAUUUUUUUGUGAUUGGAAGCUCAUUUUCAGCAUGUCAUAUAUAAUGAUAUUAUUUUUCCUUUAUAUGAAUUAGGAUGCUUUAGCCUAUGUUCUUUACUACCCUUAGAAACCACUACUUGCUGGGACGCCAUAAAAUCGCUUCAAGUUAACCAACUUCCUACUGGUGUGGUGAGUAUAUAAUUUAAUGUUGUGUUAUUGUUGCUCCUUAUGAUCAUAGUUUUCUUAUAAUCUUUUUGUCUCUGUUAUUUGGCAUUAGAAUGCAAUAGUCACUAUUGCCUGUUAUGAUGGCUAUCAUCGAGGAAGUUCUGUUGUUAUGAACCAGUCAUCUAUGGAUUAAGGAUUAUUUCGAUCUCUUUUCCUUCCAUACAUCUAGGUAAGCUGUUGUUGAGACAUUUUGUAUCUUAAUUAACACGACUCAAAAGUAUUGAUUACUUCUGAGUAUAAGAGUGUCUAAUUAUAAUAUAAUCCAGUGAGUUGGGGUUGAUCCACAAGGAAUCUAUAAAUCUAGUAGUCAUUAUUAAAAGGGAUAUUAUCAUUUUACUAUUAAAGUUAUUCUGACAUAUCAUGUCAAUAGCAUGAUUUGCCGAAAAGUACAUUUUACUAUCAAACGUUUGUGCCGUUAUCAAUUCACUACUAUUCCGUUAAGAAUUUUAUGCGGUGUCCUUUGCGCCAGAGGUUUCAGCUGCGAUCCAAGAGAUUCUAAACUCUAAUUUGUUGUCGUCUGACUUCUUUUGCUCAUGGAUUUUAGAUAAAACUUCUGCGCUAAGUCUUGUUCAAAGUAUAAGUAUAGAAUUGAACUUGAUUCUGACUGAUUCCAUUGUUAAAAUGCAUGAGUUGUGUGGCUACUGGCUACUCUCAACUGAUGGUUUGCUGUCAUUGUACUUGUGCGUCAAAGAAGGUUUUCUUAAUAUUGUUGAGGAAAAUGUUGUCAGGUAAGGCUAAUCUGUUCACAUCUUGAAAUAAUUAUUUGAUGGUGAAUAUUUGUUAAAGUUAUCUAUUUUCUUUAUUUCUUAUGAUGAAGUAGAUUUGAUGUUGAGAAGAAAAUUAUUAGUGUUCAAUUGUGUGUUGAGUGAGUGGUUUAAAUGAGUAUUAAGAGUAAUUAAAAAUUAUAUAGUAAUGUUAAAUUGUUCAUAAUAUUAGUUUAACGAAAGACUUCUUAAUUUUUUUAAUAAAAUAUAGUGUUCAAAGUGUAUUUUAUCAAUAAUGUUGACAUUCCUACAUUUGAGUCUUAAUUUUAUGUGUCGCUUGUUCAUUAGAUAAUAUAUUUUACAAUUUAUAAAAUUAUUAUUUUAUUAUACAAUAAAUAAAUGACUCAUCAAUUAGGACUAAAUUGAAACAUAAAUGUUGAAUAUUACGUUUUGUUAAUGUUAAAGUGUAAUGGUCAUGUUAUGUAGCAAAAAUUCAUGUAUUUAUUUUUUAUUUAUUUUAUAAAAAUUCAGUUUUUCAUAUACAUAGAAGUUAGUAAAUUGAAAUUGUUUCUAUUAAACUGUUGAAGUACAGGUGUGCAUUUGCUAUAUAUAUGAUUUUUUCAGAAUCUUUUAGUUAAAAAAAAAAAGACUCGUACUUUGAUAGGUAAUUAAUUAGAAAAAAUAAAUAAAGAAGAAAGGUGGCAACUUAAGUGUAAUUUCAUUAAAAAUAAUGGAUCCCUCUAAGUUACAUGCAUGUACCUUACACCCCUCUCACAUGAAUAGUGAGUGGACCCACAUCAUUCACUAUUUAUGUGAGAGGGGUGUAAGGUACAUGCAUGUAACUUAGCAUUAGCCUAUAAUUAAAUAUUUUGUUGAUAAUGAGACAAAAAGUUAUUUUAUGUGAUUUUGAAGAAACAAACGAGUAAUGGACACAUGUCUAAUGUACAAAGAGUAGGCGAGUAAGUCGCACUGACCGUAACACUAUUUAUAUAUACUGUUGCGGACCCGCCUGAGUUACAGUUCACGUAACACUACUCGACUUUUCUGGCUUCUUAAUGUAAACUAUCGUUGACCUCCUUGUACUUUAUAUUAUUAAUAAUUUAUUCAUAAGUAUAUAAAAUUUUCUGUAUUGUAAACUUUUGUUGAGCCCCUUGCACUUUAUUUUAUUUUAUUGAAACCCUUAGAGUAUCAAAUUCGCCCCUAUAAUUUUUAAAUUCCCAAAAUACCCUCUAUUUACUUAAAAAUAUAAUAAUUAUUAAAUGUAUUAUUAUUAUAAUUAUAAUAAUUAUUUUAUUAUAAUUAUCAAUAUAAUUAUAAUUUUUAAAUAGAUUAUUAUUAUUAUCAUUAUUAACAAGAAUAAAAGUAUUAUAAUUAAUUAAUCUAUUAACGAUAAUUAAUAAUAAUUUUUCAGUUAAAUUAAUAAUUAUUAUUAUUAAUUAAUUUUGAAUAAUAAUAUUAAUCAAAAUAAUUAAAAUAUAAAAUAAUUAUUAUGAUAAAAAUUAAUUAAGAAUUUUAUAGUAAUUUGUUACAAUUUAACUCAUUCCGAUUUUGAUUCUAAAACAAAGUAAAUACAUAAAUGUUUAUACAACUCAUUCUAAUUAUGAUUCCUCCAGUUCAAGUAAAUAAAUUAUUUUGAUUCUAAUUUCUCAUUUUGAUUCUAUCUAUUCCAAUUUUAACUCAUUAUGUUUUCAGUUAAUUUUGAUUCCUAUUUAGUGAAUGCACUAUAAAAUUGUAAACCACUCUAUAUUCAACUAGAUCACUCUAUAUUAUUUACAAUUUAUUCAUAAGUAUUAUGAAACUUUCUUCUUACCUAUACUAUAAAAAUUCAAUUUAUCUCCCUACACUCUUUUUCGUUUACUAUUUUUUUAUAAGUGUCAAAAGAGUGUUUACAACCAUGACACAUUAGUUAUCAUAGCACACUAAUAUUAAUAAAAAGUUUUUUAAGAAUAUUACCAUUCAUCUUUUAUAUAAUAUAUUCUCAUAAUAAUUAAUACUUUCAUGAUAAAAGGAUUAACAAAAUAAAAAGCAAAUUCCCUUUGAAUCCAUCCGUCUCCACCAUUAACUUCUCUUUAUCAGCAACCUUCAUCGAUAAUUGAAGUCACCAUUAGACUCAUCAAAGAGAAAGAGAGUACGAGAGGGGAAGAAGAAAUGGGAAAAAAAUACGAGAUGUUCACAAUUUUAUAGUGCAUUCAUUAAGAAAGAAUCAAAAUUAGCUGGAAAAAUAAUGAGUUAUGAUUGAAAUGAGGAAUUGGAAUCAGAAUAAUUUAUUUACUUAAACUGCAUUAAUCAUAAUUAGAAUGAGCUGUAUUACCAUUUAUGCGUUUAUUUUGUCUUAGAAUUAAAAUCGGGAUGAAUUAAACAAAUUACUAUAAAAUCCUUAAUUAAAUUUUAUCAUAAUUAUUAUUUUUUAUUUUAAUUAUUGUGAUUAUUAUUAUUAUUUAAAAAUUAAUUAAUUAAUAAUUAUUAUUAUUUUUAAUUAUUAUUAUUAUUAACAAUUUAACUAAAAAAUUAUUAUUAAUUAUUUUUAAUAGAUUAAUUACUUAUAAUACUUUUAUUCUUGUUAAUAAUAAUAAUAAUAAUAAUCAUCAUCAUCAUCAUCAUCCAUUUAAAAAAUAUAAUUAUAAGUAUAAUCUAUUUAAUAAUUAUUAUAUUUUUUUAAUUAAAUGGAUGGUAUUUUGGAAGUUUAAAAAUUAUAGGGGCGUAUUUGAUACUCUAAAGGUUCUAGUUAAAUAAAACAGAGUAUAAGGGGUUCAACGAAAUUUUAUAAUGAAGAAAUUUUCAUAUACUUACAAAUAAAUUGUAAAUAACAUAGAGGGUAAGGGGUUCAAAGAUAUUUUACAUCAAGAAGCCAGAAAAGACAAAGACAAAGUAGCUGCAGGUUACGUGAACGGUAACUUUAGGAUGGCAAUGGGAUGGGGUGGGGGUGGGGAGGCCUAUCCCAUUUUCCACCCCGUUAAAAAUUUUAGCUUCUAUUUCUCACCUCAUUUCUUAAUAAAUUUAGUGGGGUGGGGAUGGAGAUUCUCCAUGUGGGGAAUGAUUUCUCUAUCCCCACCUCAUUUCUCAUUUAUCUAUUUUAUAAUAUAUAUAUAUAAAUAUAUUAUUUUAGUAAGUUAAAAAUUAGAGACUUAAAAUAAAAUGAUCAUCAUAUUAUAAAGUAUUUAAAUUAUUUUUAAAAAAAAUCUAAAAGUUUAAAACAAUAUCUUAAAAUAAUAUUAAAAGUGAAAAAUAUUUAAAGAGUGUAUCACCUUAAAAGAGAAAAGAAAAUAUAACAAUGUUUCAGAGUUGAAAAAUAUUAUAAGAUUUUCUUUCAUUCAUAUCUUGCUUAUAUUGUAUAAAAAUUAAAAAAAAUAUUAAUUGACAUUAUAAUUGAUAAAAUUAAAAUUAUUAAACAAGAAUUAAAAACAUAUUUAUAUUUAAUGGGGAUUGGGGUGGGGGUGGGGGUGGGCUGGGGAGUACAAAACCAAACCCCACCCCAUUAAGAAUUUGGGGAUUAUUUUUACCCCACUCCCCACCUCAUUUCCCAAAAAUUUUUAAAAUUUUCCCCAUUUGGGGUGAGGCUCCAUGGAGCCCCAAACCCGUGGAGGAUUUUGCCAUCCCUAGGUAACUUAGGCGGGUCCACUUUAAUGUUACGGUCCCGGUCUUAUGUACUUUAUUCACAAAGAGCAGUGUUAGGCGCACAGAAGGGAGAGAAAGAUGAGAGAAUUCUAUUCUCUCUCUAUCCUCUCACUCACUCUCUACCAUUUUUUUUUUAUUUCUCUCAUUUUUUCUCGUAAUUCUCUUCACCAAGCAUUUUUCAUUCACAAAAGGGGCACUGAAUUAUUUAAUUUUGUAGGGCAGCUGCAGCUUGCGGAGUCCACACGGUGUUCAAUCUUAUCAAUUCCUCUGAGGCUCUGGACUUAUUGUUUCCAUAAUUCAACAAUUUUUUUUUGUUCUGCAUGCUCUCUCUUUCCCUUUUGAUCCGGUUUCCCAUGGCAGAGCUCUUACUCUCAGCUUUCUUUCAGGCUUUCUUUGGCAAGCUGGCUUCCCGUGAUUUGAUUAACUGAGGAGGGGUUGAUUCUGAGCUGAAGAAGUUUGAAAACACUUUGAAGAUGAUUCAGGCUGUCCUGAGGGACGCAGUGGAGAAGGAACUAACGAGUGAGACUGUGAAAUUGUGGCUGGACAAUCUCCCUAACUUGGCUUAUGAUGCUGAGGGCAUGCUGGACUAGUUCGAUACUGAAGCUUUGGGGCUUGUAAAUUAAAGAACCUAGUCCCUUCUUGUUUCAACAUUUCCGGUGGUUUCAACAGCUUCCGUAUGCUUUCUAAUACCUGGAGAAUUUGAAGCUCCGGCACUUAUGCUCCCAAGCCUUUAAAUCCCACAAACAUAUUCGGGGAAUUAGUGCAUGACAUUCAUUUGUGGUCUCCAAAAACAGGUUGAUGCCGGGGCGUUGAUACCGAACACCUCUGCAAUUUGGAUGCAGGGAAAUUAUUUUUUUGACACACAAGCUUCAAACUGUUAAAGCUCUACCCUGCAGGAAUGCUGUAUAUAUCAAAUUCCAAAAACAAAUUAGAAUUGCUGCUUCCUGUGAGGCACCAUACCAAGAUCUGCUUUUGUAUUCAUUCAAUCAGAUCAAUCAUAUGGAUUGUCAACUUUCAAGGUUACGAUGGACUAUGAGUGAACAGAGGAGUUGGAAGAAGAAUUAUUAAGAACAGAGCAAAAACUGAGAAUCAGAUAGAGGAAGUUGGCAAUCAUUGAAGAAGAGGCAGCCUACAUUGCUUUAGUUAAUGAUGAAAACUGUCAAGAUGCUCUUAGUUUGUAUGUUAAUAUGAUUGAAGUAUGGGAGAAAGUACAUUUGUCUAAUUUUUUUGACUUUAUUGCCCCCCCCCCCCAAAAAAAAAAAAACUCAAUCUUCAAAUCAAAAUCUCAUCUUCGAACCAACUUGAUAACAAAAUAUUAUUAUUGUUUGUUACUACUUGACAAGAAAUUGCUAAAAUGUUUAUUUAUUACGAAAAGUUUUGAACCAAGAUCAGAAAAUGACCAAUCUUGUUGCCACAAGACCUCACUAAACUCUCUGAUUAUUCACCAAGGGACAAAAGAAAUUAACAAUUGAAACAAACAGAAACGGAAUCAAAGAAAUCACAAAGAAAGAGCACACACAACAAUUAUAGAGGACUCAGGCAAAAAGGCUUUAUUGCCAUUUUUGGAGAAUAUAGUUAAUCCAGGUGCGUUGCACGUGCAUUAGCUGAAUCAAAAGGCAUUAUGGCCGUUACAAGAAGCGGGAAAGAUGUGUCUGGUAAGUGAGGGAUCUUUCCAUGUCAAUUGCGAGCUGUAUACAAAGCCUUUGAGGCUGGAGUUGGGUUUCUUCUGUAGCUUGUAAAAAUUUCUUCACCGCUGUAAUUUGUUCUUGAUUGAGAGGACGUUGGUUGGUGAUUGCACGUGCCUCGCAGGUGAGUCACUUAUCGCACACAGCUGACAUAUGAUCGUUGUCGUACGCAUCAUGUAUAAGACAACCGACAUGGCAUCCAGAAACGAUGGUACAGCUAGAGCUAGCAAAACGGAUCAUCGGGUCGUGUACGUGUCGUGUCAAAUUUAGGUCCACCUAAACCUAAUUCAUUUAAUAAUUGUGUCAAAAUAUUGAGACUCAAACCCGAUACGAAAAAAUAAUUGGGUUACCCAAUAACCCACUUAAUAUCUAUAAAUUAAAUAAAAAUUACAUUAAAUAUUUACACAUUGUCAUACAUACGUAUGCACAUGCAUAUAUACAUCCAUACAUAUAUACAUAAUUUAUCGAUAUUAUAAAAUAUACAUAUCUACUAAAAUAUUACGUACACUAUUGAUGUUUUAAUUAUAUAUAUGUAAAUAAUAUUAUAUAUCAAUAUUAUAAAAUAUACAUGUCUACCAAUAUUUUAUACAUUUACAUUAUUAAAGCUCUAAAUAUAUUUAAAAUUUUAUAAAUAAAAUAUUGUGUCUAUAUUCAUCCUUUUAAAGAAUAAAAAUAAAAAAGAAAAUUAUUUCUAAUAUUUGAGUUUUGAUGACAAGAAUCUGUAAUUUAUUUUAAAAUAGAAAAUAUAAUUAUGUCAUUGAUUAGAUAAAUGGGUCAAGAAUUUUAACCAUAACCUUAUACGAAAAAAAAUUAUAUUGACUCAGACCCAACUUAUUUAAUAAUCGUAUUAAAUUCGACGAUACAUACCUAUUUAUUGGUGUCAUACUCGUAUCGAGUAAUUAAAGUUUACCAGUUCUAGGUACAGCAACUCUUAUUUUCAUAAACAGCCUUUUUGUCUUCUCUCCUUUUUUAUUUUUGCCCUUUUUUAACUUUUUUUUUUUGUCCUUUUUUAACUAACAAUUAGUAAUACUACCAAUUACAUGUGACAACUGUAAGGAGUUCAUUGUCAACAAAAUAAUUGAGUCCAGAGAUUUGUUGUACCAUACUUGACAAAAUUCAACAUUCUAAUAAAUGCUGAAAAGUGGAAACGGAACAAUUGCAGAGCGCCGGUGGAGCUCACCCGGCUAGAAGAUUAACAAAUUUCCUCCAUUAUUGUAGCCUAAAGACUUUUGAAGGCUAGAGACUUGCUCCGAAAUUUCAGCAUCCAUUUAGAUCGAGUAAAAACCAUCUUUCUCGGACGAUUACGAAGCAAUGGCUGUUGAAGAGCUCUUACUGUCUGCCUUCUUUCAAGUGUUGUUUGACAGAUUGGCUUCUGGUGAUUUUCUCACCUUUGUGGGUCAACUUCGAGGCGGGCUGGAUUCCGAGCUCAAAAAGUGGGAAAAAACUUUGAUAAUGAUACAGGCUGUGCUCAGUGAUGCAGAGGAGAAGCAACUGACGGACAGGGCUGUGAAGAUCUGGUUCGAUGAUCUCCGAGACUUGGCUUAUGACGCAGAGGACAUUCUUGAUGAGUUUGCUACUGAAGCUUUGAAGCAGAAGACGAUGGCAGAAAAUUCGAACCACAGUCCUGCUUGUUUCAACUGUUUUAGUCCAAGUUCUGUCAAGUUUAAAAUCGACAUGGAUUCCAAGAUUAAAAGUAUCACUAGCAGGUUGGAUGAACUAUGUGCUAAAAGAAUUGUACUUGGAUUGCAAUUGAUUCCUGGAGGGAUAUCAAAUGCCUGGAAGCGAAGACCGCCGAGUUCAAGUGUGCCAACGGAACGGGCUGUCUACGGCAGAGAUGAGGAUAAGGCCAGAAUACUUGAAAUGGUGUUAAGUGAUGAUCCAACCGCUGACGCCAACUUUCGUGUAAUACCAAUUGUCGGCAUGGCAGGGGCUGGAAAAACAACGCUUGCUCGGGAGGUCUACAAUGACAGGGCUGUGCAAAAUUUCAAGUUUGAUGUGAAAGCAUGGGUUUGUGUUUCUGAUGAUUUUGAUGUUGUCAGCAUUUCGAGGGCUCUUCUCGAGUCAAUCACCUCCACAACUUGUGAUCUCAAGACGUUGAAUGAGGUGCAGGUUAAAUUAAAAAUUGCUGUGGAUGGAAAAAGGUUCUUGCUAGUAUUGGAUGACGUUUGGAAUGAGAACUACAACUUGUGGGAAAUCCUGAAAGCUCCCUUCAUGGCUGGUGCACCAAAUAGCAAAAUAAUUGUCACGACACGUCAUUCAAAUGUUGCAUCGACGAUGGGAUCCGUUGAACAUUAUAAUCUUAAGCUUCUGUCAGAUGAAGAUUGCUGGUCUGUUUUUGUGAAGCAUGCGUUUGAGAGUAGAGAUGCCGGUGCUCAUCAAUUUUCAGAAUUAUUUCGUAAGAAAAUUGUGGCAAAGUGCGGAGGCUUACCGUUGGCAGCAAGCACUCUUGGCGGCCUUUUACGCACUAGGCAUACUGAUGAUGCGUGGGAGGAUAUAUUGAGCAGCAAAAUGUGGGAUUUGCCUCAACAAACUGACAUUCUCCCCGUGUUAAGGUUGAGUUACCAUUAUCUUCCUUCUC